rnacentral:lncRNA from 1 species
ACAAACAAAGAAUGCCAUAAAUUCCAGAACCUGAAUGGGAGUAACUAAUUUAUCUAGUGGGAUGAGCGUGAUUCCAAUCUUUGCACAGAGAAAGCUUUAGUAGUUCUAUGCCAUUAUAGGGUCAGAGGACCGUAAGGUGUGUUAACAGACUUCCGUGUCUUCAAAAUCUAGGAUUUAUUAUGUAGUAUGACUGUAUGAAACAGAAUGGGUUUAUCUAAUUUCCAAGUUAAGAAUAUGCAAUCGGCAGGUAUCAUCAAAUUAGUAGUUUUGCUAGUUGCCAACUAUUUUAAAACUAGGAAGUUGCCCGAAAACUAAGAAUAUAUGUAAUUAAAGAGAACAUGCGAUUCAAGAUUCAGAAUCCAGAUCAAAUUAGCAAAUUGCUGGAAAAGAAGCUCAAUUAGCCAUUAGAGGACCUAAGAUGUGUGAACGCUGUGAAAUUAUAUAUUUAUAAGAAUAUGUAACUGAAGAUUCCAUAAUCCAUAUCAAAUUAGCAGUUCGGUGAAAAGAAGUUCAAAUUAGCAACUACAGGACCAUAAGAUGUGUGAACACCAUGAAAUUUUAGAUUUAAUAAGAAUAUGUAAUGGAAGAUUCCAUAAUCCAGAUCAAAUUAGCAGUUCGCCAUAAGAGAUAAAAUUAGCCAUCGGAGGACCAUAGAGAUGUGUGAGCGCUUUGUGUCUUCAAAUCCAGGAUGAAUGAAAUACGAAACAAACUGCCAUAUGUUGAAAGUAAUCAGCAGGAUUCAUCAUCAAAUUAGCCAAAGUGUUUAAGAAUCAUCAAAUUAGCCACUGUUUUGCUAGUUGUCACUUUAAAGUAGGAAGUUCCCCAGCAAACCGAGAAUCCAGAUCUCACUGGAGAAGCACCAAUGAGAAGAACAUCACUUCUGAAAAUCAACUCCAUACCAACAAACCAGAAUCAUAUUCAGUGGACAUGAGCGGAGUGUUCAGGGCAAAAAUUUUGUUCAAGCUUCCAGUUCAGAACCUUCCAAUUCCCCAUUGUUUAUAGUAUAUAUAGCAAUAACUCCUAACCUCUUUCUGCAUAUCAAGUCAUCAGUAUUACCCUACUACACAGGAGGCCACUACUGUUAAACCAACACAAGUGCGAGGGUGGGAUCUUUCUUUAUCACCAAAGUUAAAAAUAUGUGCACACCAAAAGUUGAUUUUGUGUCAUAAGAUGAACCCAAAGAAUGUAUAUACAUAAUAUACAUAAACCAAGUGCAAUCAUGUAUAUAUGUAGAAUAGUAGACCAACAAAUCCAAGUGUAACCAAUUCAUGUGUAUAUAUAUAAUAUGCAUUAACAUUUUAACUGCAUUCAGAGCUCAUGUACAUGCGAUCUUUUACUUCCUACUACGUGAUAUAUUUGCAAAUUGAAAGAUACAAGCAGCCAAAUAUCAAAACAAAACUUCCUGAAACAGUAUGGUAACCAGGUAAUUAAUAGCCAAACCAAACUUUGAUAAUCUGCUAUACAGACUGAGUACGAACUGAUAUUUCCAUUUUGGAAGACUUCUAGCAUUUUCUUGAUUCGAGCAAAAGAUGAGAUCAUAUUCCAUCCAAGUUGGAAGAGGAUACCGUAACCAGUAAGAUUUUUUUUUAUCAUAUACCGUAACCAGUAAGAUGGCACAACAGAAACCUAGUAAGAUGCUUCAGGACAGUUGAAAGAAUCAGAUGCACACACUACCAACUCCAAGCUGCACCAAAGAUAUGAGGCCACUGAAUGCAAGUUCAAACUGAAAACUACCACAAAGACCAUAUCAUUAUGCUUCAGGAUCAGUAAUCAGAGGUCAAAACCAUCAGGGAAGUCCAUUUGCUUCACCAAGUCCCCGCGCUAACUGACUAUCCAACUCUACAAUCUUGCAAUAAAACCUCCAACAAUGCAAAUCAAUUAACGGCCCAAAUAUAAUCAGCAUACUUCAAGUUUCUUCAAGGAAAGUCAGACCAUAGUGAAAUCUGGUAAAUCAGUUGAAACAAGCAUGGAGUCCAGGUGUAAGUUUUUGUGGUUGAAGGAAGAUUCCAAACGAAGAUCCCAAACAGCCAUUAGACAAACAUAAAUCGAAGAACUUAAUGUAUAGCCACUCAAAUCUGACGUCACCAAGCACAGUUGAGGAAUCCAGUAAACCAGUGUGACCAAGCAUGGGAAACUGACCUGCCUCGAGUCCCCUUCACCAUACGUUCACACACCACAUGGAGCUUCACUCCCAAACCAGAUCAAGAUCCAGUACUGCGAUAACAAAUGAAACAAACAGACUGUCUACGAGACACUGACCUCCAUGUACAGAGCAAAGGUUUGGGCCCAAACUCCUAAUAACAAUUACUUGGCCAACCCACACACAAGACCAAGAGAACACAGGGAUCAAGAGUACAGAUAACAAGCAUGGAGAGCUAGUCAUUGCCCACAUGGCCUGGGAUAAAGAAAAAUCUGCAACCAUAGGAAGGGCAGGGGCAAAAACCUAUAUCAGAGAGAUGGCCAAGUAACUACAUGAAAAAUAAAAUAGGAAGGUAAGAAUCUUUUUCGGUUGUAGGAUGUGUCAUUAGUUGAAAGCUCUGGAUUAUCCUUAUAUUCGUGCUGCAUAUGAAUCUGUAUUUAAAAUAUUGUCUAGUAAGAUAAGUUAUAGGUUAUGUAUAAGUUACAAUGAAUUGAAACGACACUAGUAGAUUUAGAAGAUCAGUAGACGGAUUCAUCGUCAGGCUGGACAGGAGUUCGUCAACUACAUCCUGCAGCGAGCAAGAGACCGUUUCUAUAAAAAAAUUGUUAGGGGAAAUGCUGCUUAUAAAUAGCAAAAGCAUGAAUGAUGAGUGGGAACAAGUAAAGCCUGUCUAGGGUCAGGUAUGGAUGAUGGAGGACAACAACGCCAGUUCCAAACUGAAGUUAUAUCCUUUCCAAGUCAGUAUCUGCAAGAGCUGAUAAUUACCAAGGCAAAGAGAACCUAAUGUCUAGAGUUCAAUUAGAGUAAAAAAGGUUGAAAAAGUUUUAGCCACAGAAGGAACCGCCAUGCCGAGGAAAAAUAGGACCGCCUACUAAGCCAUAUCAUUCCAAUUUCUGGAGAGCCACCAAGAAAUAGUUUAAAUCAGAAUUGUGGAGAACCAAAACAGAACAGUGGAGACGAAAGAGUAAAACAGAGGGAGUGAUAAUUAUCCAAAUGCAGAGCAGCAAGAUGCGUCGCUCCCGCUAAGCCAUAUAAUUCCAAUUUCUGGAGAACCACGAACAUAUCCAAAUAUCCUGCACAUAGGCUCAGACUUCCUAAAUAUAUCCUGCAACUGAUACACGCAGAAGACCAGCACAGGAAUCAAGAGUACAAACCAAACGAUUUUAACAGAUUCCGACUCACUACCAGCAUGGUUUGGGAUUAAUCUGCAACCAAAUGGAGGGUAGAAGGAAAAACCUAAAUCAAAGACAUGAACAAGUAGCUACGUGAAACAAAAAUAAGAGGUGAGUUAAAACUGGAGCAGCCUUUUUCACUGUAAGAUGUUCCAUUAGUUUGAAUCUCCAUUGUUGAACCUUGGCAGAUAAAUCUGAAUUCAAAAUAUUGUCUGGUAAGAUAAUUUUAAAGGCUGACUAAGUUCUGAUGAAUUGAGAAAAUAGUUGAUUUAGAAGAACUGCAAACAGAUUCAAGUCGGCAUCAGGUUGGACGAGUUCAUCAAGUACGAUCUGCAACGAGGAAGAUACCUUUCUAUAAGUUACAAGAGGAAAACUAGGCUCAGCUAAAGCAUGCAUCAAAUGUUGAGGUAAAGGGUAAGUAAGCCUGUCUUGGCCGGAAAGUCAGGUAGACAACACUGGUUCCAAUUAUUUCGCCCCCAAGUCAGCAUCUGCACGAGCUGAGAAUUACCAACCAAGGCAAAGAAAAUAACAUUUUGAAAGUUCAAUUAUCAAGGGAGGAUAAAAGGUCGGAUAUGUUGGACCACAGAAAGAACCACCAUGCCGAGGAAAAAUGGGUCACCCGCUAAGCCAUAUAAUUCCAAUUUCUGGAGAACCAGCAGAAAUUCUAAAUCAGAAUUGUCGGGCAACUAAUUGAGCUAUGGAGAAGAAAUUGUCGGGCCUUAGGCAUUUGCCCGAAGAUCUUGAACCGAGGGUAGGAGGUCAGAGAUCUCCACGGCAGCGCCUCCAAACCGCUGCCGAUGAGCAACAACGGGGCAGGUCUUCACCCGGAGCAUCUCGAACACCACCUCCACGCGCCGCAAUCCGCUCACCCGCUCGCCUCCCAUGCAACAACCGCGCUAUCGCCGUAUGGGAGCCACCACGUAUCUCGCCGGCACCAUGUCGGGCCAGAUCCGGCCGCAACCGGAUCACCAUCUAGCCUCACGCCGGAACCCCGGCUGCCUUCAGCCACCAAACGGACGAGGCCGCCGGGCUAGCAAGCCAGCCAGAUUUGCAGCACCAAGCCGGGAGGGGGCGUGCCACCCUGCCCCAUCCCGCAGUGUGGAGCUGCCGACCCGAAGCACAGGCAGCCCGCAGCAGCCGCUACACCGCCAAGAGGGCGCCGUCGAACAUGCGUAAGCCGCCGACUGCCACCCCAUCUUCCAGAUCCAUGCGCCAGGAGCCACCAAGCCGCCACCAUCCGCCGGAUCCACAGCGGCAGGAGCUGCCAGUGCACCACCGAGACGCUGCCGAGCCGAGCACCACCAUCCCGCGCAGACCGCAGGCAACGCUCGUCGUCGCGCCGGAUCCGCACCUGGCCGCGCCCGCCCACAGCUCCGCGACGCAAAGGGAGACGGCCGCCGCCAGGAGCAGUCCUCCCGCCGCCGGCACCGCACGGGCUUUGCCCGAUGGUGGCCGGGGGGAGGGGGGAGGUGGCCGCUGGUUAACGGCUGGGGCGCCCCAAUGCCACCCGGGUGCGAGAGGCAAAAUAGUGCCAUACUUGCGGCGAUUUGGAUGAGAAGAAGAUGAUGUACUCCCUCCAUUCGAAAUUACUUGUCGCGGAAAUGGAUGUAUCUAGACGUAUUUUAGUUUUAGAUACAUCCAUUUCCGAGACAAGUAAUUCUGAACGGAGGAAGUACGUAUAUCCUAAGAAGUCUAUCGAUAUUUUUGUUAUUCAUGGAUCAAUGCAUUUUGGUCCUAUGCUUUAGAAAGGAAAGACAGUUUGAACCCCACAACGGUUAGGGUCACUUAUGCCGAAUAAUCCAAAAGUUCCAGGACAUCAGCAUCCACUCGACAAACAACUGCGGACAUUCUACUCGCCAAUGAUUCAACAACGUAUAUUAACAUCUGCGCUGAUCAAAUAUUUAAGAUACAGCGCGAUGAAAUUACGAGACGAGACAGACACUGUUGUUGGAAUUUGUAUACAGCCGAAACUGCAGCUAACAUCUACAGUAGUGCGCAAAGCUUGACUGACGGUGUGUCUAACUGAAAGAAACAAGGGCACGUACCUCUACACACGAGGUGAUGAAGGACGUCUCCAGAGGGGAUCGCAGCAAGGCCGGUCCUGAGGUUUUGAGAGCCCGGGCGAAACUCAAACUCGGGGCCCUUUAAUAUAGACAUCAUGACAAUAAAAUUGUUGGUCUGGCAAACGGCGGUUUCCUGAAAAUGGCAACAACAUCGGUCGAUUUUCCUAAGGAGAACACGAGGCGUGAACGGGAGUGACGUGGCCGACCGCAGCAGCUGGGCAAGGCCCACGUUGUCGCGGGUAGCAGGGUCUCGGGGGUAGACACCAGGCCGAAAAAGAGGGGUAGUAGAGUGAUGGUCGGAACGGCGGCAGACCGACAACGCACGAGGUGGCUAUAGCAAGCCGGCGCGUCAGCGUAACACAAGCUGAGGGUGAUGGUGGACAGCAGUACAUCCAGGGACGGAGUUAGAAAAUUGGCAUGGAGGGGGCUAGACUAUAAGCAAUUGGCUUUAUUAUUUUUAUUAAUUACCUCUCUUCCUAAUCGUGUCUUCCAAGUACAAAUGGAUAACUGAAAAUUUCCUAAUUAAUUAUUGAUGUUUGUAACUUCUAAAAUUCAUCCCACUUCUGUAGUUUUAUAGUCACAAAUUAAUCUAAUGUAAAAAAUAGAGCUGAGGCGCAAUCAAAUUAGAUAUAGCGUAAACUAACCUUUCUUCCUUAGACCAUCACUGUCAUGCUUAUUCGUGUGGGUGACACCAGCCGGCCGGCCAUGCGUGGUGCCCCUGCAGUUCUGCAUUGCUGCCCUUCUCACCCUCUAUGGAUCCACUGGUAUCAGCUUGAUCAGGCGCUCUGCUGAAUCGAUGUCCAUUGGCAGGCAGUCGGCGAACGUGCGUUUGUGCGUGUGCUACAAGGACUUGGAGUCCAGAUCGCGGAGAACGGAGUUGCGGACUUCAUCGGCGACUCGGCGUCGGCGCAUCGCGACUCCACCUGCGACUCUCGGUCGCGGCCAGUCAGCUAGGGUUAACCUGAAUCGGGAUCGGGAAGAAGAAUCGGGCCACCCGCGACUCACGAAGACACCGUGUGAUCGGUGUAAUCAGCGGCUACAUGCCUUCCUAGCCCAUGGGCUACCUGCCUACGUAACAGGCUUUUGGGGGGCCCUGGAUUUGGGGGGCCCGGGGCGGCCGCCCCCCCUGCCCCCCCCUCAGGGCCGGCCUCGCAGUGGUUGAAGCUUCUUCAGUUUUGUCGGACUUGAAUUUCUACUCUGAAAAUGAACCACCAUAUAUCUGCAUCCCUGACUUUCUUAUGGGCGCAAAAUGAGAUUGUGUGAACGGUAACCACAACUUGACAAGGACAACCAAUAAUGUACGUAUUUCCGAACACGCCCUGAACUUGCUUUUACAGAUUACAAAAAUUCCUCCGCUAACCUCAUUAACUCAACUUGUAAUAAUGUACUCGUAUUUCCCAACUCCUGAAUCACUGCUAUGAUUACCACUACCAUCCAAGUGCAAUAUCAGGACCAGUCACGCAAACGUACCUGCUAGUUUACUGUAACUGAAAUUAUCAGGGAACUCUGUGAACCAUCCCCACUUGCUUGCAUCUGCUACCCUUUUACCCUACUGCGGAUCUCUUGUCCAGCAAUACCACAGCAUUUUCUAGGAGACCUUUCAUGCAAGGCUUCCUACACACUCACGACUUCCCUUCGGGGAAGGUAAGUAAAACACUGACCUUGUACAGCUAGAAAUUCAGCAAGUUGUUGACAGUCCCGACUAACCAAAAUUACCCUUGCCCAGAUUCUUCAUAGCAAAGGUCUGUGCAGCUUCAGUAUUCGACUAGGACAGUCUGUGCAGCUUCUACUCGCUUAAUUCGCUGCUACUCAAUGUAAAAUAUUUGGGCACCAUGACAGUUCUAAUGCAACCGAUACAGAGGAGCUAACUGCAGUUCCCUCCACAUUUUCUCAUCCGGGCUUGGGACCGGCAAAGGCAGUGUUAAACUACUCCUACUUAAAACACAAAAAUUAGCAAACACUACAAACAAUUAUUCAGGUAAGCAUACAAGCCACGUAAUCAACCAAAGGAAGCACUGACACCACACACGAUUGGCAAUAAAUAUUCACGCAACAUUUUCGGAAGAUCAUCACACAGACAUAGGGCACAAACAAAGAAUGCCAUAAAUUCCAGAACCUGAAUGGGAGUAACUAAUUACACUAGUGGGAUGAGCGCGAUUCAAGUCUUUGCACAGGGAAAGCUUUCGAAGUUUUAGCCAUUAUAGGGUCAGAGGACUGUAAGAUGUGUGAACAGAUACUUCUGUGUCUUUAAAAUCUAUAUAUAGGAUUUAUUAUUUAGUAUGAAACAGAAUGGGUUUGUCCAAGUUUCAAGUUACGAAUAUGCAAUCGGUAGGAAUCAUCAAAUUAGUACUUCUGCUAGUUGCCAACUAUAUUAAAACUAGGAAGUUGCCAGAAAACUAAGAAUAUAUGUAACUCAAGAGAAUAUGUGGUUCAAGAUUCAGAAUCCAGAUCAAAUUAGCAGUUCACCGGCAAAGAAGGUCAAUUAGCCAUUAGAGGAUGUGUGAACGCUAUGAAAUUAUAGAUUUAAGAAUAUGUAAUUGAAGAUUCCAUAAUAAUCCAUAUCAAAUUAGCAGUUUGACAGUAAAGAAGGUCAAAUUAUCCAUUAGAUGACCACAAGAUGUGUGAACGAUAUGAAAUUGUCUAUUUAAUAAGAAUAUGUAAUGGAAGAUUCCGUAAUCCAGAUCAAAUUAGCAGUUUGCCGUAAAGAGAUCAAAUUAGCCAUUGGGGGACCGUAGAGAUGUGUGAGCAUUUUGUGUCUUUAAAUCCAGGAUGAAGUACGAAACAAACUGCCAUAUGUUGAAAGUAAUCAGCAGGAUUCAUCAUCAACUUAGAGUGUGUUCAGGAAUCAUCAAAUUGGCCAGACUGUUCUGCUAGGUGUCAAUUUAACCAAACCGAGAAGAUGCAUUGAAGAAUCCAGAUCUCACUGGAGAAGCACCAAUGAGAAGAACAUCACUUCUGAAAAUCAACUCCAUACCAACAAAGCAGAAUCAUAUUCAGUGAACAUGUUCAGGGCAAAAUAUUUGUUCAAGCUUCCAAGCUCAGAAGCUUCAACUAUCUAUUGUUUUAGCAUAUAUAGCAAUAACUCCUAACCACUUUAUGCAUAUCAAGUCAUCAUUAUUACCCAACUACAGGAGGCCAACCAACACAAGUGCGAGCGUGGGAUCUUUCUUUAUCACCAAAGUAAAAAAUAUGAGCACACCAAAAUUUGAUUUUGUGUCAUAAGAUGGACCUAAACAACGUAUAAUCAUGGACAACAGUAUGUAGAAUAUGACAAAUCCAAGUAUGACCAAUUCAUAUAUAUAUAUAUACAUAUAUAUAUAUAUAUAUAUAUAUAUAUAUAUAUAUGCAUUAACAAUUUUUACUGUGUUCAGAGCUCAUGUACAUACGAUCUUUACUUCCUAUUGGGUGAUAAAUUUGCAAGUUGAAAGAUACAAGCAGCCAAAUAUCACACUUCCUGAAACAGUAUGGUAACCAGGUAAUUUAUAGUCAAAUCAAACUUUGAUAAUCUGCUAUACAAACUGAGUAUGAACUGAUAUUUCCAUUUCGGACCCUUAUUUGAGACUUCUAGCAUUUUCUUGAUUCGAGCAGAAGAUGAGAUCAUAUUCCAUCCAACCACAUGCAAGUUGAAGAAGAUACCAUGACCAGUAAAAUGGCAGAACAGAAACCAAGUAAGAUGCUUCAGGACAGUUGAAAGAAUCAGAUGUGCACACUACCAACUCCAAGCUGCACCAAAGAUAUGAGGCACUGAAUGCAAGUUCAAACUGAAAACUACCACAAAGACCAUGGCAUUAUGCUUCAGGAUCACUAAUCAGAAGUCAAAACCAUCAGGGAAGCCCAUUUGCUUUCACCAAGUCCCAGUGCUGACUGACUACCCAACUCUACAAUCUUGCAAUAAAACCUCCAAUAAUGCAAAUCAAUGAACGGCCCAAAUAUGACAGGCAUACUUAUCUUCAAGGAAAACCAGACCAUAAUGAAAUCUGGGAAAUCAGUUGAAGCAAGCAUGGAGUCCAGGUUUAAGUUUUUGUGGUCAAGGAAGACUCCUCCAUCCAGAACGAAGCUCCCAAACAGCCAUCAGACAAACAUAAAUCAAGGAACUUAAGGUAUAGCCACUCAAAUCUGACGUCACCAAGCACAGAUGAGGAAUCCAGUAAAUCAAUGUGACCAAACAUGGGAAACUGACCUGCCUCAAGUACCCUUCACCGUUCACACACCAUAUGGAGCUUCAUUUCCAGACCAGAUCGAGAUCCAGUCCUGCAAGCUAAAUUGUAGAGGAGGCCAUAACAAAUUAAACAAACAGACCGUCUACAAGAAUCUGACCUUACUCCAUGUACAGAGCAAAGGUUUGGGCGCAAACUCCUAACUAUUAUAUCUUGCCAACCCACACUCGCAGAAGACCAAGAGAGCACAGGGAUCAAGAGUACAGAUAACAACCAUGGAGAGCUAGUCAUUGCCCACAUGGCCUGGGCUAAAGAACAAUCUGCAACCAUAGGAAGGGCAGGGGCAAAAACCUAUAUCAAAGAGAUGGCCAAGUAACUAAUAAAUGAAAUAAAGAAAAUAGGAAGGUAAGAGUCUUUUUCGGUUGUAGGAUGUGCCAUUAGUUGAAAGCUCUGGAUUAUCCUUAUAUUUUUUUUGCAUAUGGAUCUGUAUUUAAAAUAUUGUCUUAUAAGAUAUUUCAUAGGUUAUAUAAGUUAAAAGAAUUGAAACGAUACUAGUAGAUUUAGAAGAUCAGUAGAUGGAUUCACCGGGUUGGAAAGGAGUUCUUCAACUACAACCUGCAGCGAGCAAGAGGCCUUCUCUAUAAAUUUUUGGUUAGGGGAAAUGCUGCUUAUAAAUAGCUAAAGCAUGGAUGAAACAAUGUGGGAACAAGUAAAAGCCUGUCUAGGGUCAGGUAUGAAUGAUGGACGACAACACCGCCAGUUCCGAACUGCAGUUUCCUUUCCAAGUCGGUAUCUGCAAGAGCUGAGAAUUACUAAGGCAAAGAAAACCUAAGGUCUAGAGAGUUCAAUUAUAGAGUAAAAAAGGUUGAAAAGUUUUAGCCACAGAAGGAACUGCCACGACGCAAAAUAGGACCGCCUUCUAAGCCAUAUUAUUCCAAUUUCUGGAGAGCCACCAACAAAUAGUUCAAAUUAGAAUUGUGGGAAACCAAAACAGAACAGUGGAGACGAGAGAGUAAAAGAGAGGGAGUGAUAAUUAUCCAAACGCAAAGCAGCAAGAUGUGUCUCUCCGCUAAGCCAUAUAAUUCCAAUUUCUGGAGAGCCAACAUAUCCAAAUAUAUAUCCUGCGGCCCAGACUUCCUAAAUAUAUCCUGCAACUGAUACACGCAGAAGACCAGCACAGGGAUCAAGAGUACAAACAACAAAUCGAUCCAGAGAGAGAGAUAGACCGCAAACCAAAUGAUUUAACAGAUUCCGACUCACAACCAACAUGGUUUGGGCUCAAUCUGCAACCACCAAAGGGAGGGUAGAAAGAAAAACAUAAAUUAAAGACAUAAACAAGUAGCUACGUGAAACAAAAGAUAAGAGGUGGGUUAAAAUAGUCUUUUUCAUUGUAGGAUGUUCCAUUAGUUUGAUUCUCCUUUGUUGAACCUUUGCAGAUAUGUAUUCAAAAUAUUUCCUGGUAAGAUAAUUUUAAACGUUAUCUAAGUUAUGAUGACUUGAGGAAAUAGUAGAUUUAGAAGAACUGCAAACAGAUUCAACUCAGCACCAGGUUGGACUUGAGUUCAUCAACUACGACCUGCAACGAGGAAGAUGCCUUUCUAUAAGUUAAGAGGAAAACUAGGCUCCGCUAAAGCAUGCAUCAAAUGCUGAGGUGAAGGGUAAGUAAGCCUGUCUCGGCCGCGAAGGUCAGAUAGACAACACUGGUUCCAAUUAUUUUGCUUCCAAGCCAGCAUCUGCAAGAGCUAAGAAUUACCAACCAAGGCAAAGAAACAAAUGUCUAGAAAGUUCAAUUAUCAACGGAGGACAAAAGGCCAGAUAUGUUGGGCCACAGAAAGAACCGCCAUGCUGAGGAAACAUAGGAUCACCCGCUAAGCUGUAUAAUUCCAAUAUCUGGAGAACCAGCAACAAAUCUAAAUCAGAAUUGUUGGACAACUAAUUGAGCUGAGAAGAAAUUAAGAAGAGAGUAAUGAUCAUCCAAACGCAGGUCAGCAAGAAGAUAGGUCGCUCCCGCUAAGCCAUAUAAUCCCAAUUUCUGGACAACCAGCAAGAGAUCCAAAUCAGAACUGUGGGGGACUAAAGUUGAAUUGUGGAGAAUGAAUUAAAUAGAGGGGUUCAUAAUCAUCCAAACACUGAUCAACAAGAAGAUAGGUUGCUCCUGCUAAACGCCCAAUUUCUGGAGAACCACAAACGAAUUCAGAACUGCCAAUGACUAAAUUGUACUGUGCAAACCAAAUAAAUUGAAUUGGGAUGAAAUUCAUUAUCCAAAUGCAGAUCACAAGUUUCAGGUUGGCAAGAGAUCCUAAGCUUCAUUAUCCAAUCAAUCAAAACGACGAACAGAAGCCAAACCUCCACCCUAUGAUUCAUCUGUGCAGAACUACUACACUCCUGCAUCUGCUGCAAGCAAAGGAGCACAAACACACACCAAAAGUGCGAUCAGCUGCUACAAUAAGAAUGCACCAGGACCUCUAAUCCACCUCAUAUUAGCUGAUGAUGCGUGAUGAGAACCAGAAGACAACACCGUCGAUAGCCAUUCAAAUCUGACCUGCUCAAAUCCCCUUCGACAUACAACACCACAGAGAUCUCCACAUUCCAGAUCCAAUCCUGCAACCAAUGUGUGGAGGAACACAACUAAACCAAACAAACCGUUGAUAGAACACUGACCUGACUCACUGUACAGAGAUUUGCCUUCCUAAAUAUGGCCUGCAGUCGACAGGAUAAGAGUACAGAUAACGAAUUGAAACGCAUAGAGAUAGAUUGCAAACCAAACGAUUUUAACAGAUUUCGACUGACUACCAGCACUCUCUGGGCUAAAAUAAAUCUGCAACCACAGGGGCAGAAGCAAAAAAGCCUAAAUCAAAGGCAUGAAGAAGUAGCUACAUGAUAUAAAAAAAAGAGGCAAGAGUUAAAAAUGGAGGAGUCUCUUUUUUGUUUGUAGGUUUUGCCAAGUUUGAAGCUCCAUUCGUGCACCUUUGAGAUAAAUCUGAAUUCAAAAUAUUGCCUAGUGAGAAGAUCUUAAAGGUUAUCUAAGUAUAAUGAUGAAUUGAUUAGAAAAAACUGCAAACAGAUUCAACUCAGCAUCAGGUUGGACUUUGCAUUCGUCAAACCUGCAACGAGCAAGAUAUGCCUCCGUAAAUUAUUGGAAAACUAGGCUCAACUAAAGUAUGCUUCAAACGAGGAGGUAAAAGUUAUAAGGAAGUUUGGGCUGAGAAGGUCAGGUAGACAGCACCGAUUCCAAUUAUAUCCCUUCCAAGAUGGUCACUGUUUCUGCAAGAGCUGAGAAUGACAAACUAAGGCAGAGAAACUUGUCUGGUGUUUUCUAAUUAUGUUAUUAAUAGAGUAAGAAAAUGUUUGAGCCACAGAAGAACCGCCGUGCCGAGGGAAAACUGGACCACCCGCUAAGCCGUAUAAUUCCAACUUCCGUUGUACCAGCAACAAAUCCAAAAUCCAAAUCAGAAUUGCGUGGAGACUAACUGAAGUGGAGAGAAGGAAAUAAACAGAGUGUAAUGAUUAUCCAAACACAGGUCAUGAAGGAUUAAAGUCGCUCCCGGUAAGCCGUAUAAUCCCAAUUUCUGGACAAUCAUCAACAACAGAUCUAAAUCAGAACGGACUAAAAUUGAGCCAUGUAGAUGAAGGAAUUAAACAGAGGGGGUAAUAAUAUAAUAAUCAUCCAAACACAAGUCAAGAUAGGCCGCUCCCUCCCCCUAUGCCUUGUAAUCCAAUAUCUGGAGAAGCACCAACAAACGGGAAUCAGAAUUGCCGUUGACUAAUGUGCGAACCGAGAAACUAAACUGGGAGGGAUUUAGUAUUUAUUAUCCAAACGCGGAUCGUAGGUUGCAGGUUGGCAAGAGACCCUAAGCUUCAUCACCCAAAAGAUCUGACCAUGUCAUCAGAAUAAACAACCGGUGAACUGUAACCAACCAACCAGUCAGAAUAAUCAUGAACAGAAAUCAAACCUCCACCAACUCCACGAGGGCCUUGAUUAAUCCACCUCGUACCAACGAAUUAUUUGGCGGAAUAAACCACAGCGGUCGGGGAACCAGAAGAUCACGCGGGCCAUAUCCAUUUGAUUUGAAAGCUGGAAUAUAUCACGGACGAACGCAGGGGAUGGAACCAAGGAAGCGAUCUGAGAGAGCACGGGAAACUGACCUUGCCUCGGCCUCCGGCUCCACAAUCAGAGCUCCAAUUCCAAAAACCAGGCUCGACGAUCCUGCAACCAACGCGCGCGGAUGCGAACACGAAUACGAGGAACACAGGAUCCACGGUUGCAAGCAAACAGAAGCGGACACGCGAAACAGACUCUGAGAUAGACUCGCAAACCAGAUGAAUGAAUCCCCCGACCCAUCGCUUCCCGGGCUCGCACGGAGGCGGACGAGACGGGCCGGAUUGGAAUGCCCUGCGAGCACAUCAAGGCAACGGCGACGGCGAGUGAAUGAAAUCAAAUCAAACGCGAUUCGAAACGAAUCGGGAAUUGAUGGACAAGGGGUAGGAGACGGUCGCGGAGACGCGAGAAGAUGGCUCGCUCAGGCGAUCGAGGCCGGAGGCGCGGCCGGAACGAAAGCUCCGGAGGAGAAGAGAGGAGGGCAGAGCGCGGGGUGGAGGGGGCGCGCCUGGGGCGCCUUUUGUAGCCGGCGCAGAGGCGGUGCGGGAGGGGGAGGCGGCCUGGCGCUGGCGCCAACCGGUUCCUUACCGGACCGGACACGGCUUCGCCUCGCUGAUUAGGCAAGGGAUUAAUCAGGCUUUCUGGUCACAGGUGGGCGGCGGAAAUCAAACGGGAGUGGACCUGGUGAGAUCCGGACCGGGUUUGGUUCGGGUGGGCGGGUGGCUGGCAGGUCGGCAAAGCAUCGGGUUGGGACGUGGGCCACACCGACGGAACGCGGAAUUUCUAGGCUGCUCGCUGCUCGGGGGUUGCGACGGGCCAUGUGAUGUGAGGCUGACCGUGUCCGCGAGUGCGAGCCGCGACGAACAGGUCCGUGGAUGGGAUGAGAACGUGGAACAGGCGGUGCCGUGGAUGGGAACGUGGUCCGCGGAAAUAUCUGCCGUGUUUACACAAUCAACGUGCUCGCUAGCUUUUUUAUUUUUUAUUUUUGGAAAAUGAUAAAAAAACAAACGUCUGAUUUUUGAAGUUUCAGCCCUAAGCAACUCCAACCUGCCGACCCAAACGGACGGUGCUUUUACCCGCUUUUCCUUUAUUUGGGUCGGUCUGCCGGACACCCAUGUCCGCUUUCGCUUUGGGGUCGGCGCUUACGCCCAACACUGUCCCGACCCAUUUUUGAGCCGGCGCGAAAAAAAACCGCGUUCGCAAACAUUUAAAAAAUAAAAACGUUAAUUAAACAUUAAUGUCGGCUACAAAGGUCGAUGAGAAUUAAAUAAAACUACAAACUACUAGGAAGUGCGCUGCCCUAAAAGGCCUCGUCGUCAUCGUCGAGCCUGGUGAGGUCGAUGAGCGUCGGCGUCGGGCCACCCAACGGGAACGUCGUCGACCAGGACAUCGUCCGCCGCCGGCUGGGCUGGCCCACCGCGGGCAAGACAUACCUCCUCCUCCGCCUCGCGGCGCUUCUCCUUCGCGUCGCGCUCCAGCUGCUCGAGGUACUCGCCCUCGCGACGCUCCUCAGCCAGCCUUUGCUGCCGCCAUUGCUCGAGGUACGUCUGCUCCCGCGCAGGGGGCGCCCCCAACCAGACCGGUGGCGCGCUGACCCACUUGCGCACCACCCCAGUCCAUGAGUAGUGCUCGAUGGGGGUCGGCAUCGGCUCGGCCUUGACGGGGGACAACGCCCUCAAAGGCGGCAGGACCCAGUCGCCGGCCACGGAGAGUGCCACGGCCUCCGCAAUGCGUGCCUGGUACGCCUCCUCCUCCUCCCCCUUGCGCCGCUCCUCCUCGCUUUCAUAGAGGACUGCCGCCAGCGUCGCCUAGUAGGCGGCCUCCGCCUCAUGGUCCUCGUCAUGCUCGACGAGGGCCGGCGGCGGGGAGCCAUGCCGCACGUCGCGGACACCGCGCCUCCUAGCCUCUCAUGCUCGAACGCGAACCAGUGCUCCCAAGUGGGAGAGUCGAACACGUAGGUGGGGGCACGAUGCUGCUCCGGCGUCAGCAGCUGCCACCGGGGUCGAAUCUCCUCCGCGUGCGCCCGCGCCAACCGCGACGCCGCCGCCGGCACUGGGAACCUCCUCCAUCGUGCGCCUGUGUCAGUCGUCUGGCAGCUUCACAUCGGGGUAGGGAAGGGGGGACGCGGUGCUUCCAGUGCCACUUCGCCUGGUGCACUGGCACAUUGAUGCGCUGCCGCGCCCAGCGAGAAGACGCCAACGGGGGAAACAGGUGGCGGGGGGCUUUCCCUUGCCCUUGCCGGAGAAGAAGCCCAUCACGGUGGCUAGGGUUUGUCGCUGACGAGGGAGCAAAGUGGGUUGUUGAGAUGGGGACGGGGGCCUCCGGAAGCGGAUGAGGACGGUUCACGACCGCAGGCUCGGGAUUAAAAAAGGUCGACCGCUGUCACUGGCGCGUGGGCCCGCGGUGGGUGCUUGUCAUUAAUAAAGACGACCGCGAUAGCUAAACGGCCGCCAGGUGGGAACACAGCGGACACCGAGAGGGCGUGCGGCGUGUCCACGUCGACGCAUUUCAUCCGCGAAUGGGUCCGCACAGACGCGAAGCGGACGCGUUUUGGGAAUGCAUCAGCGUGUUGGGCCAGCACAUUUCUCCACGGCGACCCAAACAGACGGUGGCGGGCAAAAUGGGUACCUGCGUUGGAGUUGCUCUAACAUUGUAAGGACCGUUGAAUUGUAGUACGAAUCUUGAAGCAAGAACGAUCAGCCACGUCAGCGAAGGAUAUUGUCGGUGUCAAAACCGACGGAUCUCGGGUAGGGGGUCCUGAACUGUGCGUCUAAGGUCGAUGGUAACAGGAGACGGGGGACACGAUGUUUACCCAAGUUCGGGCCCUCUCUAUGGAGGUAAUACCCUACUUCCUGCUUGAUUGAUCUUGAUGAAUAUGAGUAUUACAAGAGUUGAUCUACCACAAGAUCGUAAUGGCUAAAACCCUAGAAGUCUAGCCUAUGGGAUUAUGAUUGUGUCCUAUGGACUAAACCCUCUGGUUUAUAUAGAAACUGGAGGGGGCUAGGGUUGUACAAGGUCGGUUACAGAGAAAGGAAUCUACAUGUCGAAUCAUCAAGCUUGCCUUCCACGCAAAGGAGAGUCCCAUCCGGACACGGGAAGAAGUCUUCUGUCUUGUAUCUUCAUAGCCCAACAGUCCGGCCCAUGUAUAUAGUCCGUCCGUCCGAGGACCCCUUAAUCCAGAACUCCCUCAGUAGCCCCUGAACCAGGCUUCAAUGACGAUGAGUCCGGUGCGCAAAUUGUCUUCGGCAUUGCAAGGCGGGUUCCUUCUCCGAAUACUUCAAAGUAGACUUCGAACACAAGAAUCGUGUCCGGCUCUGCAAAACAAGUAGCACACACAACCGUAGAGAGUAUAAUAUUUCACGGGCCCAAUCCGCUGACAACUUUUCGUAGCGUGACAUCACGUCACCGCCCGGUCAUUAUACGAACUGUUUUUUUAGCCUGCCGCUUCAUAUUUUGAGGUGCAGUUUUAUUGGCCCAUCUUGUCAAAGCAGAGAUUGUAUCCUCUUAUUACGGGAUUCUCAUCAAUACGGGUGUUGGUAACCCAACCAUUCCGUUGGCAUGAUUCCUUGGGAAUAGGCAUGUUUUAAGGCCUAGGAGGGACGUCUGAUAUUCAUUGCCCUUAUAAAGGAGUGGAGACUCGUCCUUCUUCCUUUACGCCAAGUCCUUUCAACCUUUCCCAUCUCGAGUUCUAGCACCCAAAGCACAAUCUAAUCACUUCGCGCUUCAUGAUCAUGUCUGGCCCCAACCGUCAAGGCUGGUGGGUGGCUUCCUCUGUCACAAAGGAGGAUAUCGCGAAGCUCUGGGAGGCAAGAUACCUGACUACGGAAAUCCUCCACAUGCUUCCUGCUCAAGGGCAGGUUAUUCCCACUCCCAGAUCUAAUGAGAGGGUUGUAUUCAUCUCCCACUUCCUCCGAGGGUAGGAUUUUCUCUUCAUCCCUUCGUCCGAGGGCUCAUGUUCUAUUACGGAUUAGAUUUUCAUGAUCUAGCCCCAGACUCUUUCCUUCAUAUCUCGUCGUUCAUUAUCGUAUGGGAAGCCUUCCUCCGUAUUCCCCCACACUUUGGCUUGUGGCUCAAGACCUUUAAUGUGAAGCCGAAGGUAAUCAAUGGGAAACAGGCGGAGUGCGGUGGUGCUGUGGUGAGCAAGCUCGCCAAUACUACUUGGCCAAAGGGCUCCUUCAUGGAAACUUCCGACCUGUGGCAGCAUGAGUGGUUCUACAUCACCGAACCCCGUGGUACCAGGUGGGCAGCUACUCCUACAUUCCGAUCUGGCCCUCCGUUAUAGCUCGUGUCAUGGAUUAAUAAGGGGCCGGACUGGGGAUCCAUCAAUGAAGUGUAGACGCUACAAAGCCGCAUUCGGAGCCUUAUUGAGAAGGACACCGGUCUCAUCAACGUAAUCCAAGUAAUGCUAGUCCGACGAGUCCUACCGUGCCAGCGACGGCCUCUCCGCAUGUGGGAGUUUAAUCUGGAAGGACCACGAACCAUUCAGCACCUCUCCGGCGCAACGCUCAGAGGAAUGUAGAAAUCAUUCUUCGGGACUCGAAAACAGUGGCCAUGUACUACAGAGGACAUCAGCCUUGACUGCAACCAUCCGGAUACAUCGGUAAGUACUCAACUUCCGAACACUGUUUAGUCAAAUUCCCCAUGACAACAUACUGAGAAAAUAGUAUUCGGUCAGGGCUGGAUAAAGAAAGCGGAGAGGAUUAGGUGUUCGGCACAUCUUCCCGAAGACUCAGCCGAUCCGGUGUUAACAAGGAUGCUGGCUCCAGCGCCCUACCAAGUGUCGGCGAGGGAAGACGAAGAGGAGAAUGAGGAGGCCCAAGGCGGCCUUCAUUCUAAAGGCUCGCCAGGCCCUUUGUCCAGGGAGAUUGGAACUUCCACCUCCAAAGGUAGAAAAGAAGGGCAAACUGACCUCCCUUCUCCUCAUGGGAAGAAAAGGACCGCCUCCAAAGACAUGAAGAGAGAGGCUUCUAAGCGGGAGAAGAUAUCCCGGUCAGGGGGUUCUGGUUCGGGGGGUGACGUUGACAUGCAAUCUUUCCAUAAAGAUAGGCCCUUAGUUGAAUCGUAAGUGAACAAGGGUGUUUUAAACAUACCCCGUUUAUUUUCUUGGCUGUAAGGGUAACAUUUAAAAUGUAUGUUUACAGUCCGGCACGCCGCUUUCCUCAACAGUCCUCCUCUUCGGGGGAUCUUCUUUCGGAGAUGACGGAGAGUGAGACGCCUCCACAGAUCUCCCCGCCUGAUAAGGCGGACGGCGUCGAGGUGUCGUUCGGGAGGCCGGAGGAUCUCUCCCGAUCAACAAGCAGUGCGAGGGACAAUGAAGACCGGGCCCAAAGGUGACACUUCGACCGCCCGGGAUCCGAGGUAUACGGCCCUCACGGGGACCAACAACAAAAGUCCUGGACUAUCAAAGUUCCGAGGGACGACACAACCUGUUCCGGUCUGGAGGCGCCGGAUACAUUGAUGGACAUAUUGCAACAUGCGUCCUUCUUAGAGGAACAUCGUACCUUGAUGGGUACGGUGGUUGAGAGAGUUCGAUCCGCGAAAAGCGAAUUGAAUGAAGCCUUUACGAGCCUACUAAGAGGUUUCGAGGUACGUAAUGUAAUAUUUUUAAUUGUGUUACAAACGCAAAAUGUGCCUGUGUAUAGAUAGUAGCCCCUGAGACUCUGGUUGACGUCCAAAGGGAGGCGAUCAGAGGAUCAAGAAAUAGAUGCCCAUGAAAUGAUCUGACUAAUUGAAACACAUGAUUUUACAUCCGUGGCGACUACCCGAGCGACAGAGAUUGAACAUCCGAAGCAGAAAGUUGAUGUGGCGGAUGUUGACAUCACGCUUAUGAACAGACGGCUCGACAAGGCGCAAGGUAUGUCCUUGAGGCACUCAGUAUAUGCAAUCAUUAUGAGAUGAGCAUGAUGCUGAGAAAUUGUAUACUGAAAUAUGCAUAACUGCAGAUAGUGCCGCCAAAGUUGAGACCCUUUGAGCUGAGCUUGCCCGGGCCAAGGAGCAGUCUAGGAUGGGUAAUGCGGCUGCCGAAAAGGCAGCCACUGAGUUAAAGGCCGAGCAGGCUGCUCGGCGCCAGUGUGAGGAGAUAAUUUCUACUAUGGCGCUUGAGCUAAAGGAUGCCGCUAGCCGAUGCCAAUUUCUUGAGGAAGAUAACAAAGCCAAAACGACCGAUCUUGACAAGGCCUUACAAGAGGCGAGGGAAGCCUGGUCUGAGUCUAGAGCAGCUCGGGAGGAGAUCCGACAAGCUGGGGAGAUCGCGGCUGGUAAGCCCUUCUUAUUACAAACUAAGUUUUGCGAUCCGAAGUAUGCCCCGCUUAAUCAAAUGUGGAGUUCUCCAGAUGCAUUUUUGGACUUGCCAAAGAGUGUUGCCGAUGCAACUCAGUUUUUCCACGCGCAAGAAGGGCAUGCAACGGAAAAGCUAUUCUGGUCGCAAUUCAACAUGCCAAAGCGUCCGUUGUUGAAUGAACAGAUGGCCCAAUGGGCCGAGCUCUACAAGAUGUCCAGAUCUGCCAUGAAGGAUGUCGUAGUCUGGCUAUGGCCGACUGAGCCAAUUCUGAAUAGUUAUUUCGGUUUGGUGCGACGGCUUAUUGAUGCGGCGCCGCGUAUCGAUGCUGUUAAGCGGUCAACAUGGAUAGAAGGUGCAUGGAUGGCCCUUGCCCAUGUGAAGGCAUAUUGGGCGAAGAUGAAGGCCACCGAUAUUGCAGCGUAGAGUCCACCCGAAGGCAAGGACCCUACCGCGCCAGAACAUUACUUUGAAGAUGUCCUAGAAGGUGCCCGCUUGAUAGAGGGUCAGUGCUCAAAAGAUAUUAUGUUCGAGUGAAGUGUACUGAAAUUUUGAAAACAAUGUUGUUUUUAAGGCUAUGUUUUUAUACUUUUGCCCGAAAAGUUUUGGUGCCACAUGUGCGGCCGUUUUUUAUAUAUAUAAUCUGAAAGUUUGCCAGUCGUCGGCUUCAGCCCCCUCGCGUAUAACACGGGGUGUUUGGAAAAGCACUUGAUCACACUUGACCCAACGUCUUGGUCCGUUAAGGAGGUGUCAGUGCGGCGAACCAGACAAUCGGACUAUAGGGCCUUAACACUUUCACUUAGCCAUAGGAGUUUGAUGGUGGGUCUACGAUAUAGCCUCUGAUAUGUACGCGUUUAUCCGAAUACGGUGCGCUUGCAUACGUGACCAGAAGAACGGUCCUUCGUUUAAUACGGAGGGAAUCGGGAAGAUUCCGAUGAGUCAUCGAGUGGUUGACCAGCUCUCGCCGCAUCAUGACAGUCAGUUUUCGGCUUUCUCUACUGAGGUGCUCAUCCAGACGAACCAGGACACAAUCGCAGUAGUUCUCCCUUUACUACCUUAGCCGAUAGAGCGGAACGUAAGGUAGCAAGAACAGGAGCCGGGCAACCCAACUAUUGACCAAAUACAUGAUUCGGAGCUGAUGCAUAUAAGGCCAAACUCGUGACGCCGAACACUCCCUAUAGGUGUUUGGACUUUUUGAAGUAUACCGGGCUGAAUACAGCCCCUGGUAAUGAACCCUGGUGUCAAGGCACGUGUGGCAAUCUGAUAUGGGGGGAGAACGCAGGUGGUGAGAGAAUAAAACUCCGGACAUGAUAUUGACCAAGCUGCUUCUAUAGUAUCCCUUUAUAGUACGGCGAGCUGUGUGCUUACAGAUAAUGCCGAUAACUCCUUAGGACAUUGUACAAGCCCGGAAAGCAUAAAACAAAAAGAGAUAAAAAAGGUUUACACAGGAUCUUAAUCUACAAAGAAACCUUAGUACGGGGCCUUGCUGCACGUCUACGUUGUUUUCUCCUUUGUGAUGUGUCCUUGAAGGGGGUGGUGUCACUACCAAAAAACAAACAUCCCUGACAUUUUGGGCCGAACGAAAAAAACAUAUGUCAUACAUAUGACACUUCUAUGACGAUAAUUGUGACAAAACCCGGUAUCAUCAUAGAUGUGGUGGGCUCCUACUUCUAUGACAAAAAAUCAUGAUAGAAAAUGGGCUUUUUGUCCUGGGCGGGCCAGAGACGCAGCUGCAUGACAUUCUUUGGGCCAUCCAUGACGGAAAAAACCGUGGUAGAAGCGAGGGCGAGGAAAAUUUCAGGGAGUUCCCGGUUACGGUGGGCGGUCGGGGGCCGAGCGAUGCGCGUUUCUCUCGUACACGUACGCGUGUGUGCGCGAGGUGUUGGCUCUAAUUGAACCCGAGCGAGGCGUUGGGCUCUAACUAAACCCGAGCGAUUGCACUGUAGGCUACACGUUACUAAACCCGAGCAAUCGAUCGAUGGCUGUUAACUGAACCCAAUCGAGAGAUUCCUUUGCUACUGCUGCUAACUGAAGCUGAUCGAUGCUGCCUCUCUGGAUGAACAGUGAGCAUUGCAGGGGGGUUGGAUGAACAGUGAGUGGUGGCAUUGCCUCUAGAUGAAUAGGACCCCGUGGUGUGGAGGGCUGGAUGAACAGGACGACCCCGUGGAGGGCUGAAUGAACAGUAGAUGGUGGAGGGGUGCCCGUGGAGGGGUGGUUGAACAGUAGCCGGUGGAGUAGCGUGCGGUGGAGGCUGGAUGAACAGGAGCCCGUGGAGGCUGGAGGAGGUCGACGGUAGCCCGUGGAGGCUGGAGGAGGUCGACGGUGGAGAUGAACAGUAUCCCGUGGAGUCCCGUUUUGCGGUACGCCACACCCCUCUCGAUGAACAGGACCCCCGUUUCGACCGUAGCGCUCCAACACAAGUCCGUUUCGUCCGUUUUGCGGUACGCCGCACCCCUCCCGAUCGACAGGACCCCCAUUUCGACCGUAGGAGGUCCGUUUCGUUCGUUUUGCGGUAUGCCACACCCCUCCCGAUCAACAGGACCCCCGUUUCGACCGUAGGAGGUCCGUUUCCUCCGUUUUGCGGUAUGCCAGACCCCUCCCGAUGAACAGGAUCCCAUUUCGAACGUGGCCGGUCGAACACAAGGCUGUUUCCUCCGUUCUGCGGUAUGCCAAGCCUCGUUUCCAUCGCCUGUUCCGUCCAAGCCCUCCCGAUGAACACGACGAUGCAUUCCGUUCCGACCCAGCCGGUUGGCUCCCCAUGAACACGACGACAACACUGUUUCUCCAUUCCGACCCAGCCAUGUACACGAGCCCUGACCGUACGUAUGCGCAAGUAGGCGUUCGAGACCCCGCCCGUAUGUACACAUACGUGGCCGUAUUUUCUUUCUUGCACACUGGCUGCUGUACGUACGUGUACAUGCUACAUGCGCGCCUCUACUACGACACGUACGCACCUCUACUACGACACGUGUGCGCCUCUACAUUGACCAGUAUAUAUGUAUGUACACGUUCGCGACCAGAAUGAAAAUGCUACAUAUGCUUCGACCAGGUGGGUCCCGACUGUCAGGCACUUCCUUGCGUCCGAAGAUGUAGCUGGUGGGUCCCAGCAGUCAGGGGGGCGAAUCAUUUUGGUUUUUUUGCUCAGACGCACUUCCUUGCGUGCGAAGGUGUAGCUGGUGGGUCCCAGCAGUGAGGGGGGAAACAUUUUUUUCGCGAAAUACGGUGGCCCGUCCGGUGGGUCCCCGCUGUCAGGUGGAGGAAUAAUUAUUUUGCGCGUAAUAAGGAGGCACUUCCUUGCGGCCGCCGUGGACCCAGCUGUCAGCCUCUCCACGCACAAUACUCUUCCAAUGGAAGUCGGUCGUUGACCACAUUGACCACGCCGCGCCGAGAGCACCACGAUGGUGGACGAUGGCGAGGCCUAGGAAGGGGAUGACGCGGAACCGGGGAAGACGCGGCAGUGGAUGCCCACACAAAGAGGAGUACGAGGGUUCACUGGUUCGGCUGCGGUGUGAGGCUGCCGUCCCCGCAGAAUAACAAGGGGUGCGGGUGAGUAGAGGGAUGUCCUGGCUAGCGGUGGGAGUAGUAGGGGGCGGUGAGGCCUCCGCGGUAUCACAACCGACCACGGGAGGCAGGAGCAUGCGGCAUGACCGGCGCUGCUUUGGGCGGCUAGAGAACGAAGACCAGAGGUUGAAGAAGCACUACGGCCGUUGGAUGGACAUCGUACGGUCACUGGAGUAUUGACUAAGUUGACAAAGCCCUUCGUCCCCGUCAACUUAGUAGGCCCACAAGUCAGCCUGCCACUAUACUGGGUCCCAGCUAGCAGGGGGGUAUUCUUUUUUUUUGCGUAAUAAGGAGGCACUUCCUUGCGUGCGAAGAUAUAGCUGGUGGGUCCAAGCUGUCAGCGGCGGUAACGUUUUUUUGGUGGGUCCCAGAUUUCAGGUGGAGGAAUCAUUAUUUUGCGCGUAAUAAGGAGGCAUUUCCUUACGUGCGGCCGUGGACCCAGCUGUCAGCCUCUCCACGUACAGUCCACUUCAGAUGCAUGUCGGUCGUUGACCAUGUUGACCAGGCCGUGCUGAGAGUACCAGGGCGGUGGACGACAACGAGGCCUAGGAAGGGAACGACACGGAGGCAGGGAAGAGUCGGCAGUUGUUUCCCACGCGGAGGGGAGUACGACUGUACGAGGGUUUACUGGUUCAUCUGUCAUCGCCGGAGAAUAACAGCAAGUGUGGGUGAGUAGAGGGAUGGCUAGGCCAGCGAUGGGAGUACGGUGGGGCGGUGAGGCCUGUGCGGCAGCACAGCCGGCCGCGGGGAGGAGGGAGCAGGUAGUCCCGCCAGUGCUUGUUUGAGCGGCUGGAGCAGGAAGAGCAGAGAUUGAAGAAGCACGACGGCCGUUGGAUGGAAAUCCAACGGUCACUGCUUGUGCGUCAACCUUUUUUUAGGAAAGCCUCAAAUCUGUGGAAAACAGCAUACAACCCAUUUGCCACUAUUUCUAAUAAUUUACAGCCCAUUUGCUAAUUCUUAAGGUUUUUUUGGAGCCCAUAUUCUUUUUGUUAGCAUUACAGCCCAUAUUGUGGCCACGGUUAAAAAAUUAUAUGAAAUUUUGCAUAUUUCAGUGUGGUCCGAACUGUUUUUACUCUCGAAAUUUCGAGUCAUAUUCAAAAUGAUUUCAAAAGUUAAUGUAUAUCAAUAUAAAAUCCAACAAGUUGUCCAUGCAUAAAAAUAAAUGCAAUUUAAAAUCUUGAAAUGAAAAAGAGAUAUUUGAAACUAAUUGCCGGUUUGAUGUGUUUUAAAAAUGUACAACCCAUUUCUCAUUACUGAUAGGCCAUUUUCUCGGCCAGCCGAAUGAAGCUCUCCUCGUCUUGAAAGAUUUGCAGCCCAACAGGCCUGACAAACUGACUUACUAGGCAAAUCACAAAAAACUGGGUUGUGGCGAUGGACCCAACUGUCAGCCUCUCCACGUACAGUACUCUUCCGAUGGAAGUCGAUCAUUGACCACAUUGACCACGCCGCGCCGAGAGCACCAAGGCGGUGGACGACAGUGAGGCCUAGGAAGGGGACGAUGCGGGGCCGGGGAAGACGCGGCAGUGGAUGCCCACGCGGAGAGGAGUACGAGAGUUCACUGGUUCGGCUGCAGCGUCAGGCUGUCGUCACCGUAGAAUAACAGGGGGUGUGGAUGAGUAAAGGGAUGCCCUGGGCCAACGGUGGGGGUAGUAGGGGGCGGUGAGGCCUCCACGGCAUCACACCGGCCACGAGAGGCAGGAGCACGCGGCACGACUGGCGCUGCUUUGGGCGGCUGGAGCAAGAUGACCAGAGGUUGUAGAAGCACUAUGGCCGUUGGAUGGACAUCGUACGGUGACUGGAGCUAGAAUCGUUCAUAUUGACUAAGUUGACAAAGCCCUCCAUCCUCGUCAACUUAGUAGGCCCACAAGUCAGCCACCCACUAUGGUGGGUCCCAGCUAGCAGGGGGUAUUCUUUUUUUGUGCGUAAUAAGGAGGCACUUCCUUGCGUGCGAAGAUAUAGCUGGUGGGUCCGACCUGUCAGCAGGGGGAACGUUUCUUUCGUGAAGUACAGAAGCCCUUCCCACAUACAGUCCACGUAUAGUGCGUAAUAAGGACGAACUUUCCUUGCGUGCGACCAUGGACCUCGUGGGUCCCAGCCGUCAGGCUCUCCACGUACAGUCCUCUUCCGAUGACUCUCGUAUGUUGACCACGCCGCGCUGAGCACACUGAGGCGGUGGUCGACAAUGAGGCCCCAGACUGGAAUGACCCGGAGAUGGGGAAGACGCAGCAGUGGAGUCGUAGACGGAGAGGAGUGGGAAACUUGACUGGUUCGGGUGCGGGGUGGGCCUACACUCGGCAGAGAAUAACAGGAGGUGCAGAGUGGAGGGAUGGCAUGGCCAUCAGCGGGGUAGCGUUUCGCUGAGGAGCGCAAAACAACGCCGCUGGAUGCCGAAGACUAGAGCAGGCGGUUCCGGCAAUGCUGCGGGAAGAAGACGAGAGAUUGAAGAAGAAUGUCGGCCAUUGGAUGUAAAUCCAAUGCCUUCUUAGGCUUCGACCUACUGGCCCACAUGUCAGCCAGUCCAUUUGUUUUUUAGUCCAUUUGGUGGACUGGGUGAAACAAUGAUGUAGCAUCUAUGCAGCCCGUUUAAAUCCCAUUUGCAUUUUUCUCAAAAUCCGCGGACUUGCUGGGCUGGGUGAAAAUAUCAUGUUGGGCUAGAUGAAGAAAUGUUAUAAAAACAUAAAAACAUGAUUGCACGUUAUUACUGCAUUGGUCAGUAAAAUAUUUGCAAGCUUAUGUACGCAAUCACUAGGAGUUAACUUGCCAAGUUAUAUAUAAACAAUUAUUAUUAUUAUUUUGUAAGAACUUUCAAUUUACAAAAUAAAAUAUCAUUUAAAUUUGAUGAGUUAAUAGUCCGUGGGGUAUUAUCAUUUUUAGGCUAGACGUGGGACAUUUGAGUUGGUUCUAAAACUCAGUUUACAUCGAAAAAGAAAGUGGGAGAAAAUUCAGAGACCUGUUGGGUCCACCUGAGGAGGGGAAUAUGUUGGGAGGAAGGAGAUUCAAAGCACGGAGGCCGAGUGAACUAGUUUUUUUUAACGGACAAGUGAACUAGUUACAUACAUAAGCAAAUAGCCACUAAAAAAAGCAAUGAGGUUAAUGGGUUCUUAAAAGAAAUAUUUCAGACAAAACAGAUAAUUACGACACAUAGGCUAAUGCAUGAAACACUCAGAUGAUAAAGGUGCUUAUAAACAGAUAAAAGUACAACAUCUAGACCUUUCUGGCACGCUUGAUCAUGACGUUGCGGUUGUCCGUGUACUCGUCGGUUACGGAAAGCAGACACACCCUCAUGUCCAAGAUCUGCCUGUACAUGUCGUAGCAUGUGUAUGCGUCCUUGGCCGCGUAGGUUAUGUAGGCUAUAUUCGGAGGUACCUCCCACAUGUUCAGGUCAUCUUCUUUCAUGUUGGCGUAUCAGGGGUCGAUGAUGGUCUCAGCGAGGUCAACCACUGAGUCCUUCUCCUGCCCGUUGCUGAUGAUCUUGUAUUGCUUCUAGAUGUCGACAAGCUUGUUGCACCAGAUGGACGAAUCGUCGCAUUCUUCCUUCUCUCCACCGUAGUGAAGAUGCAGUCAGCGCUGCCGAUGAAACGGGCGAAUGCUCCAGAACCUGGUGCAGCCAUAGGACUGAGGCGAGGCAGAGCUUCACCGAGUCCGUAUCGUUGGUGUACAUCACAUUCAACUUGGUGCAGCCAUAGGACUGAACGGCGAACUCAAAGGGGAACUCCUUGCUGAAGUCCAUAUCCAGUAGGCUCACCCCUCGGAUCGCCAUUGGAGUCUCUUCAAGUGAACAAAUGUGUAAGCGGCGGCAGCAGUUCGUUUUUCAGCUCUUGGGGAACUGGAUUCAACAGUAAGCUGAGUGUGUACAGGCGACACCGGUUACUACCCCUCCCUCAUCCGCUGCACGCCCGGUAGAAGAUGCACCCUCGGUGCAUUCAAACGCCUCCAUUAAGAAACCUACUCCGGCCACACGUCGGUUCACAAGCGGUCUGUAUUGGUACUAUAAUAACAGGAGUUAGUGGUCACUUUACUUAAAUUUAAUUAGCUUUAAUAGAAAUUUAUACUUAAAACAAGCAAUGCAUUGGCUCGUUCUAUCAGUGCCACAGGAUCAACAUCCACGACAAUUAGAAUUAUUAUUCUCAGGACACACACGAUCAACACAUUUGUCGCACUUUCACAAAGAUAAUACUACCAAAUUUGAAUUGUUUGCUAUGGUUGUUGUCCUCUGCAUCAUCAUGCCGUGUUUCCUAGCUUGCAAGAUUCAGAACCAACAAAUAAGAUCCAAAUAAUUACAACAAAGAUGCCUACACAUCUCAUUGAUUCCCAGCUUGCAAGAUUUAGAACCAACAAAUAAGAUCCAAAUAAUAAGUACAACAAAGAUGCCUACACAUCUCAUUGAUUCCCAGCUUGCAAGAUUCAGAACCAACAAAUAAGAUUCAAAUAAUAAGUACAACAAAGAUGCCUACACGUCUCAUUGAUUCCCAGCUUGCAAGAUUCAGAACCCAUUAGAGCCUUUUGAUAAAGUGAAUAUCGAGAUUAAAUCCAUCUUGGCUAGCCAUGUCAUACAAUCAAAGAACUUGGUGAAUGCUCUUGACCAUCACAACAUCUGUAGUUGAGUAUUCCUGUUUGCACAGCACAAACAAGGAGACAGGAGAGCAUGAUUUCACUUUAAUAGCGGCCUCCUUGAACUCAACCUGCAGCUCCACUAGGAUGAGGUCUACCUGGAGUUCCAUGAUUCAAUUCAUGCGCCUUUUUCUCCAGUUCACCUUAAAUGAAGCAAAGAUUGCAUCAUUCAGCUAGCAAGAAGUACUUGCUCUCGUGAGCUGGCAGGUUCUUCUUUAGUAGUUGCACUAAAAUUGAGGAACAUUAAGGUUGGCUGUCCGGCUCAUGUAAGGUGCAACUAUAAUUUUCUUAUCCUUUUGUGCAGUUCCACUAAAAUAAAGUCCCAUUGUGGUGACCGUGAUGGCUCCAUCUUGCAAAGGCUAAUAAAAUGUUGCACGAGAUUACCAACAGAACUUGACGAAGAUUUUGGAAACUCCAAUCACCAUUUUGUGCAGUUCCACCAAAAUUAAGAGAUGUUGCCCAUGUGACAUUUUAGUUGAACUGCACAAGACACGCAUUCCAAAAAAAAGUGUUUUGUGCAGUUCACCAAAAAGAUUACAAAUAGCAACAAGGUGAAAUGGAUAUCCCUAUCUGCACAAAAAGAUAGAAAGUAAACAGUUGUUGGUCAAUAAGAAUAUAUGAAACAUAUACAUAAUGAAAAUAAGCAUCUUAAUUAUGUUAAUGGCAAUCACGCAAGGACAGUAGAAAUUUUAAAACGUCAGCAAUGCUUCAUGUUACCAGAAGCAUUACGAUCAACAAUGAGAUUCCUCAAAUAUGGGAUUACUUUAAUGCUGGCAUUGCUUGUUUAACAGACAUAGUAAAUCAAUAGCAUCUAAAGAGUUGGUUUAAGGGCAUGGGACCGUGGGGACACCAAGACACUCAGCAGCGUAAAGGAGCAACUUACUUAGGGCCUGUUUGGUUCCAAAUAAGUCACCAACUUAUAAGUCAAAAAGUGAAAAAAGUGACUUAUUUUGCCAAACAGACCCGACUUAUAAGUCACCCCAACUUAUACAUCAUAAGUUGUUCCACCCCAACUUAAAACUUAUAAGUCACCCCCUUUUGCGUGGGUCCGACCACCUGCAUGAUGUUGAUUGGUGUGGGAAGGUGUGUCAGGUGACUUAUAAGUCAGGUGACAACCAAACAGGCAUGACUUAUAAGUCACUGGUUUUAAGUCACCUGACUUAUAAGUCAGGUGACUUACUGGAACCAAACAGGCCCUUAUCAUACUGGGGAAAACAGCAGGAGUGCCAUUUGUAACACAGUUUAAUUGCAUCUUAUCACUGGAGGCAUUAGAUUAACAAUAACACUGGUUAGACAUGUCCCUAAGGUAAUAGUGUGAUCGCCUCAUUUUACAUGCGCCCUUACAUUAACAACAGCAAAAGGUUGGUAUACGGACAUGCGACAGUGGAUGCAUCAGCACAAUGUACCUACAAGGAGGCAUAAAGUGGUGAUGCCGAGUUUGUUCAUGCUAUGUGAGGGCAGCAAACCUAAUCCUGGAGACCUUGUACUAUGUGAGGGCAGCAAAUCUAAUCCUGGAGACCUUUUACUAUGUGAGGGCAGCAAAUCUAAUCCUGGAGACCUUUUACUAUGUGAGGGCAGCAAAUCUAAUCCUGGAGACCUUUUACUAUGUGAGGGCANNNNNNNNNNNNNNNNNNNNNNNNNNNNNNNNNNNNNNNNNNNNNNNNNNNNNNNNNNNNNNNNNNNNNNNNNNNNNNNNNNNNNNNNNNNNNNNNNNNNNNNNNNNNNNNNNNNNNNNNNNNNNNNNNNNNNNNNNNNNNNNNNNNNNNNNNNNNNUGUGAGGGCAGCAAAUCUAAUCCUGGAGACCUUUUACUAUGUGAGGGAAGCAAAUCUAAUCCUGAGACCUUUUACUAUGUGAGGGUAGCAAAUCUAAUCCUGAGACCUUUUACUAUGUGAGGGCAGCAAAUCUAAUCCAGGAGACCUUUUACUAUGUGAUGGCAGCAAAUCUAAUCCUGGACAUACUCUGUUGACUUGUCCACUAGCCACCACUUUCUAUCCUUUUUUCAACCAAUAAUAGAUGUGUUCCUUAUCUAGUUAGUACUGCGUUUUCCCAUUAUUUCCGUUUUCAACCAAGAGACCAGUUGGGUAUCCGGUCUCUACUACUUUCACAUAUUAUUUCCUCUUUGAAUCAAGUCCUAGAUUCAUGCUACAACUUUCCCCCCUUUCUUCGUUGUUUGAACAAAGCCCUAGAUUCGAAUGCAUGAAGUAGCUUUACCUCUAAUAAUACUAAAAACUUAGGUGGCUUUGGAAGAGCUGAUGGGAGUAGAAAAGGAUGCACAUGCAGACACGUGGGGAGCUGGGGCGGUAGAGCAAGGCCGCUUUCGAAGAACUUAUACCUGAGGGUCGCCGGGAUGUCGGCGGCGGCAGGUCAGAUCUGCGGACAAUACGGCAGGGAGGAAGAAGGGUCGGAGGACCUCCCGAGCCGGCGCUAUGUUGGAGAGAACGACACGGGCAGAGGAUCGGGCCCCUCCGGCAGCUGUGGGUUUCCUCCCUCGGCUGUGAUUGAUAACCCCCAAGUAUAGGGGAUCGCAACAGUUUUCGAGGGUAGAGUAUUCAACCCAAAUUUAUUGAUUCGACACAAGGGGAGCCAAAGAAUAUUCUCAAGUAUUAGCAGCUGAGUUGUCAAUUCAACCACACCUAGAAACUUAGUAUCUGCAGCAAGUGUUUAGUAGCAAAGUAAUAUGAUAGUGGUGGUAACGGUAACAAAAAUAAAGACAGCAAAAGUAAUGUUUUUGGUAUUUUGUAGUGAUUGUAACAGUAGCAACAGAAAAGUAAAUAAGCGAGAACUAGUAUAUGGAAAACUCGUAGGCACCGGAUAAGUGAUGGAUAAUUAUGCUGGAUGUGGUUCGUCAUGUAACAUUCAUAACAUAGGGUGACACAGAACUAGCUCCAAUUCAUCAAUGUAAUGUAGGCAUGUAUUCCGUAUAUAGUCAUACGUGCUUAUGGAAAAGAACUUGCAUGACAUCUUUUGUCCUACCCUCCCGUGGCAGCGGGGUCCUACUAGAAACUAAGGGAUAUUAAGGCCUCCUUUUAAUAGAGAACCGGAACAAAGCAUUAGCACAUAGUGAAUACAUGAACUCCUCAAACUAUGGUCAUCACCGGGAGUGGUCCCAAUUAUUGUCACUUCGGGGUUGCCGGAUCAUAACACAUAGUAGGUGACUAUAGACUUGCAAGAUAGGAUCAAGAACAUACAUAUAUUCAUGAAAACAUAAUAGGUUCAGAUCUGAAAUCAUGGCACUCGGGCCCUAGUGGCAAGCAUUAAGCAUAGCAAAGUCAUAGCAACAUCAAUCUCAGAACAUAAUGGAUACUAGGGAUCAAACCCUAACAAAACUAACUCGAUUACAUGAUAAAUCUCAUCCAACCCAUCACCGUCCAGCAAGCCUAUGAUGGAAUUACUCACGCACGGUGGUGAGCAUCAUGAAAUUGGUGAUGGAGGAUGGUUGUUGAUGACGACGGCGACAAAUACCCCUCUCCGAAGCCCCGAACGGACUCCAGAUCAGCCCUCCCAAGAGAGAUUAGGGCUUGGCGGCGGCUCCGUAUCGUAAAAUGCGAUGAUUUCUUCUCUCUGAUUUUUCUCUCCCCGAAAGCCAAUAUAUAGAGUUGGAGUUGGCGUCGGAGGGCCACCAAGGGGCCCACGAGGUAGGGGGGCGUGCCCAGGGGGGCUCGCCCCCCACCCUCGUGGACAGGGUGUGGGCCCCCUGGUCUUCAUCUUGGGCGAGGAUUUUUUAUUGUUUUUUCUUAGGUGUUCCAUGGAGUUUCAGGUCAUUCCGAGAACUUUUAUUUUCUGCACAUAAAACAACACCAUGGCAAUUCUGCUGAAAACAGCGUCAGUCCGGGUUAGUUCCAUUCAAAUCAUACAAGUUAGAGUCCAAAACAAGGGCAAAAGUGUUUGGAAAAGUAUAUACGACAGAGACGUAUCAACUCCCCCAAGCUUAAACCCUUGCUUGUCCUCAGGCAAUUCAGUUGACGAACUGAAAGAGAAAAAGAAAAAAAAUUACAAACUCUGUUUGCUCUUGUUGUUGUAAACAUGAAAAGCCAACAUUCAAGUUUCGGCAAAUAUUAUGAACUAACCAUACUCACAAUAACACGAAGGUCUCACAAUUACUCAUAUCAAUAACAUAAUUAGCUAGCGAGCCAUAAUAAUAAAACUCGGAUGACAACACUUUCUCAAAAUAAUCAUAACAUGAUAUAACGAAGUGGUAUCUCGCUAGCCCUUUCUGUGACUGCAAAACAUAAAUGCAGAGAACCUUUAAAGAUCAAGGACUGACUAAACAUUGUAAUUCGUGGUAAAAGAGAUCCAGUCCAGUCAUACCCAAUAUAAACCAAUUAUAAUGAAUGCAAACGACAGUGUGCUCUCCAGCGGGUGCUUUUUAAUAAGAAGGGUGAUGACUCAACAUAAAAGUAAAUAGAUAGGCCCUUCGCAGAGGGAAGCGGGGAUUUGUAGAGGUGCGAGAGCUCGGUUUUAAAAUAGAGAUUGAAUAACAUUUUGAGCGGCAUACUUUUGCUGUCAAUGCAACAACUAUGAGAUGACGAUAUCUUCCAUGCUAAACAAAUUAUAGGCGGUUCCCGAACAGAAUGGUAAAGUUUAUACUCCCCCUCCUCCACAAGCAUCAAUCCAUGGCUUGCUCGAAACAACGACUGCCUCCAACGUUCAACGGGUCCCAGGGGGAGUUUUGUUUGCAGUUAUUUUGAUUUAGUUUUCAUAAAGCAUGGGACUGGGUGUCACGACCGGUUUUUCAAUAAGAAUAGUUAUUGAGAAAACCAAUCUUUAAAUCCCAGUAUAGGAAAAGUCAUCCUUUCUGGUAGACAAAAGCUUGAUAAACAGAGAACCAGUAGCACCAAAUAUAUUACAGGGUUGAGCUGAGGUAGCUCAACAAUUUAUUACAGACUCGCCAAUAUAUUACAUAUGGGCGGUUAUGACACAGGGGUGGGGUGGCAUGCUACUAGUUCGAGGGAAAAGUGGGGGUGGAUAACUUGACUUCUACUGGCAGUACAUCGAGCGUCGAGGUGAGGCUCAAUGAAUUUAUUCGGGAUUGCGGAAGCGGAUAAUACAAUGACCAAGACAGGAUCGCAAGGGACUGACUGGGACUCCUCUAGGCGUCGGACUCGCUAUCAUACUCUUCAUCCAAGAGAUCGCCUUCAUCAUCAUCUGGCCAAAUCAACAAGCCAGGUGAGUACUUGAAAGUACUCGCAAGACAGUUCGGACAAAAGAUAUAAUCAAUGAAUGCAUGAAUGCGUCAUGAACAAAGUAUGAUGUUCAAAUACAACGGAAUUAUUGCAGAACUUGAUGCAACAAAAUUUAAUAAUUAAAAACCGAUCGGGUGUCUGGAGCGACGCCUCGAAAGGUAAAUAAAUAAAAAAAAUGCAUGCCGCAGUCGGGCGUCUUAGCGACACCACUUAAAGGGCUUUAAAAGAAAUGCCACCGUCGGACGUCUGAGCGACAUCACUGACAGGGCUUUAAAAGAAAUACCACAGUCGGACGUCUGAGCGACAUCACAGAAAGGGCUUAAAAAGAAAUACCACUGUCGGACGUCUGAGCAACAUCACAGACAGGGCUUUAAAAGAAAUACCACCGUCGGACGUCUGAGCGACAUCACAGACAGGGCUUUAAACAAAAUACCACCGUCNNNNNNNNNNNNNNNNNNNNNNNNNNNNNNNNNNNNNNNNNNNNNNNNNNNNNNNNNNNNNNNNNNNNNNNNNNNNNNNNNNNNNNNNNNNNNNNNNNNNNNNNNNNNNNNNNNNNNNNNNNNNNNNNNNNNNNNNNNNNNNNNNNNNNNNNNNNNNNNNNNNNNNNNNNNNNNNNNNNNNNNNNNNNNNNNNNNNNNNNNNNNNNNNNNNNNNNNNNNNNNNNNNNNNNNNNNNNNNNNNNNGGAUGUCUGAGCGACAUCACAGACAGGGCUUUAAAAAGAAAUACCACCGUCGGACGUCUGAGCGACAUCACAGACAGGGAUUUAACAAUAGCAAAAUAACAGGUAUGCCACCGUCGGACGUCUGAGCGACAUCACAGACAGGGCCUUGUAACAAAUGUAAAUAACGAGAUUAGUUCAUCCACAAGAAUAAUCUUUUAACCGGAAUUAUUUCACAAAAAACCCACCGGAGUUUUUGUCACCGAGGCUGAAUACCUGACAAGAUAAGACAAUUAUAGUACUUGAACAAAGUACAAGAUAAUUGAAAGAUUGAGGCUCUGCAGAGUUUGGAAGAACUGAACACAGCCAACGAAUUUCCGUAGUCACGAAGGACUAGUUCCGUUUACGGUAUUUCAGUAGAAACACAUUUAACUAGUACACACCCAUUUCACCUCACGAUGCCAGGAAUCACCCUGGACAACGUCCAAGAAAAACUUUGAGACGGGGAGGCCACAACCUCGAAUAGCAUGGGAUCAAAUUUCUAUACGCGCGCUCUAAGGGGUGCCCCUCUCGGUCCCAACCGGAAACACCCAUGCCCCCUGACCGGAUGACGGGCUUUAAUCCAGGGCCAUGGAACCCUCAUCCCGGCCUCUCCACUUGGUCUGUACCAGGAAAACAAUUUGCAACUUACUAUGCCAUAUUCCUUUCGGAAAACAUGUGACAGUAUAGGAUGGAAUGAAUGGAAAUGUGAAUUGUGUCAUGACGACACGGAAGUCAAAUAAUCUGGCAUAAGACUGGCAUGUCACAACACUGCCAUCUUACCCAUCCUCAUACCAACACAUGGCUUUGCAAAUAUGUAUCCAACAACAUAAUGCUUUCCGGAACUUACUUUCCGAUUACGUGCAUGCGAUAUAUCAUGCAAGGUGAUGUUCAUAAACAUGCCAUGACUAUACUAAAAUGCAAACAUGCAACAACACUCAUCAUAUCAAGAGUUCAAACAUGCUUGCCUGGUUCGGAGUAGUCGGAGUCUAACUGUGUGAAGUUUGCGGCUCCAUCACCUCCUCCGGUAUCUACGGUAUAAGAAAAAUAUGUAGGCAACGUAAAUACCGUGAGUGUACAGAAAAGUGUUCCAAAUAUUUUUCAAAUAAACAUGAUAAAAAACUAGACAAAAAUCUAAAGAGAACAGAAAAAGAAUCAACCAAAAAUUCCCUUCUGAUAAAAAGUUAUAAGUGUUUUAACCCAAGGACACAUCUGUAAUGAAACAAAAAACUUCCAGGGGGUUCAGCGUAAAAGUACAGAUAACGUUUCGUUUAAAAGAAACGGCUGUGAGGCUGACAGGCGGGCUCCACCUGUCGGGUUUGAAAGUUCAAACAGAGAAACAGAGCGCGACGGCGCCCGAGAGGUGCGGUGGUCGCCGGCGGCGAUCCACGGCGAGGCAAGGCGAUCGGGGGUUACCUUCAAGAUCAGUGCACCGUUCCGCGUCUGUGGGUGGUGGUGGUGGUCGCCGGCGAGCAUUGUGUCGACGGCGGCCCUUGCUCCGGCGGACGGUGAUUCGGGCAGUCGUGGAUCUCGCCGGAGGGAGCUGCGGGGAUCAAAUAGGAGUGGGGGUUAGUCUCCUAGUUGCUCGUGAGGGCUGCUGAUGAAGUUAGAGCGCCGGAGACGGCCUCACCGGAGCGAAUCGCGGUGGAGUCCGAGGCGGAGCGCGGUGGCCAGAGUCGGGGAAGAAGGGCCCCUCGGGGCUCUCCCAGUGGCUGGGCGGGGUCUAGUGAGGUGGUGGAGUCGUGCGGGGGCGAGAGCAGGCUCGGGGGUGCUAUAUAUAGCCGGCCCGAGUCGGUUGCCGUGAACGGAUAAGUCCGGCGAGUUGAUUACGGCGGCGCUGUGGCCGGACGGUCGGCUUAGGGGUUUGAGCAUCGCCUAGGUGAAGUAGUGGUGCCAUUUUAGGGUCCAGCUCAGCACGGGAGGGAGGUUUACGGCCUGCCCUCGACGAAACGGCCGCACGGCCCGUCGGUGGCAGAGAGCGCGCUCUGCGCGUGUCGCGCCACGGCGACGGUGCUGCAUGCGUGCGCUGGCAAGGAGGUGGCCACGCGGAGCUACCAGGACGCUUGGGCGGCGCCGAACGGCGUUGCGCCGCCGUUCUGCUUCCUGUCGGCCGCUACGGCGCUACGGCCGCCGCAAGACACGCCGGCGCAGGCGGGCCAGGGCACCACCGACGCCAGGAAGGCGCCAAGCGCGCGUGUGAGGCCCCGGACAAGCAAGCCUGGCCGUGAGCUACGUGCCAAGCGCACUGUGAGCUCGUGACUGAAGUCACUGACAAAGAUCAACACUGAAUUCUGAAUUUAACUGAAUAUGACUAGAACAGUGCAUGCAAGGUGUUCGACAGAAUGAUCCAGGCAUGUAGGGAUUUUUCCUUGAGCUAGUUUUUGGUGGAGGGACCUCUCAUUGCACCUAGAGGUUGCCUGAAUAUUUGUGGAAUUUUUGGAGAUGUAUAGAUAUGAAUUUCACCAAAUUUGGCAAAUCUGGUCCAAACUUGCAGUGAGUGCAAUUUGAAAAAUUUGAACAGGAGAAGAGUGGAUCAAGAUGGUUCUGGGUUGUGGGUACAAAGGACUAUCCAGGGGUGUUGAGAUGAGGUCAAAAAUCAAAAGCAUUAAAGCACUUGCUUUGCAAUCCACCUAGGCUCAAAAGUAUAGACAGAAUUAUUUUGGGAGGAGAAAUAGUUGGAAUAAAAUCCAAAAAUGGAUUUUAUUAGUUUUGACAGAAUGUUUGGGUUGAACUAAAGUGGGAGGAAAGGUUUUUGGGAAAAAUUUCACCAUAGGAAGCAUGGUGAAAUUUUUGAAGGGAUCAAAACCAUAAAGAGCCCAAAACUAAAAGGGUUUUCAUUUUAAAAGAAACCAAAUCCAAGAAAAGGAUUUUUGAGAGGGAAAACUUAGAAGAUGGUUUUUGGGAAGGGUUUAAAUGACCUUCUUUCAAACCAAGCAAGGUUCUUUCUGAAAACAAAAAAAAUCACAAAAAUCUUGGAGUGUCACAGAACCUACCCCCUUAGGAAAAAUCUCGUCCCCGAGAUUUCAGCUGAUCCUUAAACAGGUGUGGGUGCUCUGUCCGAAGAAAAUCCUCGCUCUCCCAAGUUGCUUCAUUCUCGGUGUGAUUGCUCCAUUGAACUCUGAAAAACUUAAUGGUUUUCUGUCGGGUCCUCCUCUCAGAUUCUUCUAAUAUUUUUAUCGGGUGCUCCCGGUAAGUGAGGUCUGGUUGCACGUCAAUAUACUCAUGUGAAACUUGCUUCUCUGGGUUGCUUAUGUAUUUUCUCAACUGCGAGAUGUGAAACACGUUGUGGAUAAUGGACAACUCUCCGGGUAGGUCCAGCUGGUAGGCUACCUUGCCUCGUCGGGCCACUAUCUGAAAUGGUCCGAUGAAUCUUGGUGCUAGUUUCCCCUUAAUCUUGAAUCAUUGCAGACCCUUCAUAGGAGAAACUUUCAGGUAUACGAAUUCUCCGGGUUCAAAACUGAUUUCCCGAUGCUUUCAGUCGUAAUAACUCUUUUGCCGACUUUGAGCUGUUUUGAGUCGUUCCCUAAUCGUCUUAACUUUCUCCUCGGCCUCCUUGAGCAUAUCUGGGCCAAAGAUAUGGCUGUCUCCGGUCUCUGACCAAUUUAGCAGGGUACGACAUCUUCUCCCAUAUAGAGCUUCAAAGGGUGCCAUUUGCAAGCUGGCUUGAUAGCUGUUGUUGUAUGCGAACUCUGCAUAUGGCAAACUUUCUUCCCCACUGUUCCCGUAGGUGAGGACACAUGCUCUUAGCAUGUCUUCUAAGAUUUGGUUUACGCGUUCCGUUUGUCCAUCAGUCUGGGGAUGGUAUGCAGUACUGAAGGCUAGUUGGGUUCCCAGUGCCUGUUGUAGGUGAUCCCAGAACGUAGAGACGAACUGUGUGCCUCUAUCUGAGAUGAUAGUCUUAGGAACUCCAUGUAGGCAGACGAUACGGGCAAGAUAAAGCCUGGCUAGUCUCUGAGUGGUGUAAGUUGUUUUUACUGGAAUAAAAUGUGCCACCUUGGUUAAUCUGUCGGUUAUGACCCAAAUGGCAUCGUUUCCGUGUUGUGACCGUGGCAGUCCAACGAUAAAGUCCAUUCCAAUCUCGUCCCAUUUCCACUCGGGUAUCUUAUUUGGCUGUAACAGUCCGGCUGGUUUCUGGUGCUCUGCCUUGAUACGUUGACAAGAGUCACAUCAUGCAAUGAACGUGGCUAUAUCUCUCUUCAUACCGUGCCACCAAAAAAUUUCCUGAAGGUCUUUGUACAUUUUUGUCCCUCCAGGAUGGAUUGAAUACGGAGCAGUGUGACUUUCAGUUAAUAUCUGUUGUUUGAGGUCCUUGACAUUUGGUACGCAUAGCCUUUCUCCGUACCACAAUAUUCCUUGCUCAUCUAUGUUGAAUUCUGAGGCUCUUCCCGAACUCACUUUUCUCUUUAUGCCCUCAAUGCUGGGGUGUCCGUGCUGGGCUUCCUUGAUGCUUUCCAUUAGGGUAGGCUGUAUUUCUAUAUUCGACACACUGCCUUCGGUAACCAUUAUUAGAUUGAGUCGGGCAAAUUCUUGUUGAAAUUCUGGCCUCAAUUUUGGUAUAUUGUCGUCUUCUGUGCUGGGAUUUCGACUAAGUGCAUCUGCCACAACAUUUGCUUUUUCGGGAUGAUAGUGGAUUCCAACAUCAUAAUCCUUCACCAACUCUAACCAGCGUCGUUGCCGUAAAUUUAACUCUGGUUGUGUGAAAAUAUACUUAAGACUCUUAUGGUCUGUGUAUAUCUCACAACGAUUCCCAAGUAGGAAGUGUCUCCAUUCCUUGAGUGCAUGGAUGACCGCUGCUAAUUCCAAGUCAUGUGUGGGAUAAUUUUCUUCAUGCUUGCGUAGUUGUCUGGAGACAUACGCUACUACCUUGCCUUCUUGCAUCAAUACGCAUUCGAGGCCUUUCCGGGAUGCGUCACAAUAUACCUCAAAGCUCUUGUGUAUAUCUGGCACAAUUAGUACUGGUGCCGUUGUUAAUUUUCUUUUUAUCUCUUGGUAGCUUUUCUCACAUGCUUCUGUCCAUUCAAAUUUCUUGCCUUUCUUGAGCAAUUGUGUCAUGGGCUUUGCUAUAGUGGAGAAUCCUUCAAUAAAUCUCCGAUAAUAGCCUUCCAUUCCCAAGAAACUCCGUACGUCCGUUACGUUACCUGGCGGUUUCCAGCCAAGUACGGCCUUGACUUUUUCUGGAUCUACUGCAAUACCUUCUUGGGUUAGCACGUGGCCCAGAAAACCCACCUGCCUUAGCCAAAAUUCACAUUUGCUGAAUUUGGCGUACAGUUGAUGUUUCCUGAGUUCUCCGAGUACAAUCCUGAGAUGUUCGGCGUGUUCUUCUGGUGUUUUGGAAUAUAUCAGAAUAUCGUUGAUGAAUACCACAAUAAACUUGUCCAUAUACUUCAUAAACACCUUGUUCAUGAGGUGAACAAAAUAUGCGGGGGCGUUGGUUAGCCCAAAUGGCAUUACUGUGAACUCAUACAGCCCAUAUCUGGAGGUGAAAGCGGUCUUGGGAAUAUCUUCUGUUCGUACUUUUAACCGGUGGUAUCCUGAUCUCAAAUCAAUUUUUGAGAAGACUUUGGCCUGUGCGAGCUGAUCGAAUAAAUCAUUUAUUCGUGGCAUUGGGUAUUUGUUCUUGAUUGUGACCAUGUUGAGAGCUCGAUAAUCAAUACACAACCUCAUUGUUCCAUCCUUCUUCUUGGCAAAUAAAAUUGGAGAACCCCAAGGUGAGGAGCUGGCUCGUAUGUAUCCUUUAUCCAAUAAUUCUUUUAUUUGCUUCUUCAACUCUACCAAUUCGGGUGGUGCCAUUCUGUAAGGUUUCUUGUAAAUAGGAGUGGUUCCGGGUGCGAGCUCAAUGCUGAAUUCUAUCUCUUGGUCUGGUGGCAUGCCCGGUAGUUCUUCUGGAAAUACAUCUGGAAAUUCACAUACCACUGGAACCUUGUUCAGCUCAGAAACGUCUACUUUGUUUAAUCUAGGUUGCCGAGGUAUUUGUCUCUCCUUGGCUGAAACUUUUAUUUUCUUCCCUUGAUGGUGGGUGAGAAUUACGGUACGGUUGAAGCAAUCAAUAAAACCUUUGUUGGUGGUCAACCAAUCCAUUCCUAGGAUGACAUCCAGUCCUUUGCUUUCCAGUACAAUAAGAUUGGUGUAAAAUUUCAAUCCUUCAAAUUCAAUAACCACACCUUGACAGUAACUCUGGGUCACUUGCUUAAUCCCAGGGACUUGACGAUCAUUGAUUUUUCCAAGGGAAGCAUCAAAAAAUUAUUUUGCAAAGCAAAACUUUUCAAAACGAAUGAGUGAGAAGCUCCAGAAUCAAACAAAACCAUGGCAGGUAUUGUGUUGACGGGGUACGUACCGAGUACGAUAUCUGGGGCGUUCUGUGCUUCCUCUCUGGUCACGUGGUUCAAGUGACCUUUCCGGUGGUUGUUGUUGGGGUUGAAAUUGCUUCGCUUUGGUGCUGAAUUAUAUCCACCAUUAUUGAACUUCGGGUUUGAGUUCCUUGGCUUGGGACACUGCUUGGCAUAGUGCCCUUCUUCUCCACGAGCAUAACAGGUAACACCUGGGCGAUAGGUGAACUCUUUGUCUCUUGCAUGGAAAUUCUUGGUUGGACGUGAAUUAUUCGCCGGGGUUUUGUGUGAAUCCCCCUUCUGAAAUUCCUUCUUGCUUCUGGGAUUGCGAGAAAAAUUAGUCUGGUCCCUUUUCCGUUUGCGGAUAUCUUCCAGGCUACGUCGCUCAUUUUCUAGGGUAAUGGCCUUAUCCACCAGUGUUUUAAAAUCUGGAAAGGUGUGCACAACUAGCUGGCACUUAGGGGCGUGUGCCAGGCCUUCCAAGAAUUUUUCCAUCUUCUUGCUCUCGGUCAUGCGUUCUUCAUUGGCGUAACGUGACAGCAGUGUGAAUUGGCUGUUGUAUUCUGACACUGUCAUGGCUCUUUGCUUGAGUUCAUCAAAUUCUUUCUUCUUGAUUUUCAUGACGCUCUUAGGAAUAUGUGCCCCACGAAAACCUUCUUUGAAAUUUUCCCAGGUGAUUUCAUUUUCGUUGGGGUGCAUGUGCAGGAAGUUUUCCCACCACGAUGCAGCUGCACCCAUGAGAUAAUGUGGUGCAUACAGUACUUUUUCACGGUCUGAACACUGUGCGAUAAUUAAUUUUCUCUCCAUGUCUCGAAGCCAGUCCUCGGCCUCAAGAGGCUUGUCAGUAUGAGAAAAUGUUGGAGGACGCGUCUUUUGUAACUCAGAUAAUUUGGAUUGUGGUUGAUACUGACCACGGUACUUCCCAUAUUGAUGAAUUGGUUCAUCAUUUCCUGGUGUUGCUGCUGACUCUGUUCAUACAAACGACAAACUUGUGUAAAAGCUGUUUCACUGUCUGGUUGACUUGUCUGACCCUGAGUGAAAUUCUAGUUCUGCGGUGUGCCAUAAAUUUCUUCUGGCUGAGUUGGCAUGGAGCGCAUCCAAGGACGAGACAUCUUUCACUCUGGGGAUAAAUUUUUUGUGAACUCGUAAGACAAGAAGAAGAGUCGCAAAAGUCAAAAAAAAAUCACAGGCAAGGAACAUUUUUAAACUCCAUGGUAUUUUUUUGAAACACACGAUUGCGCGCGGAGAAGGACUAGUGCAUAUCUUACACGCGGGCAUAAUUAUACAUUACAUCACUCAGGAUAUGCGUACAUAAUCCUGACAUGUUAUUUAAACUAGUGCACUCCUCCAGAUCCUACAUGAUGCGCAAAUAGGCUACUUCUCACAACCUGAGAACAUAAAAACAUAUUACACCAGUUGAUACAUCGCAUGGCGUCUAUGCGUACUUAGUCGGAGAUGUUGAUGAUCUCCCUUGGCCUGCCGAGGGUGAGACGCAGAGACGCUGGGGAAUUGACCUCCUCCUCGCUAAUAGGUUCCAGACGAGAAACGUUGUGCUGAGCUGAUGGAGCAGGUGCCCUAGGCGGAAUAACACGAAUACGAGUGGGUGGAAUAGGUGGGGUAGCUCGUAUGGGAGUGGGCGCAACACGUGGUGCAGAGCGGACGGGAGUGGGUGCAACAAGUGGUGCAGAGCGGACGGGAGUGGGUGCAAUAGCCUGGUUAAAUUCCUCUGUGGUAGGCAGACGACGAGCAGAGGCGAGUAUGGUAGGUGAGUGAGAGGCUUUGGAUGACACAAAAGUCAGUGGUGGAGCAGUAUGCAGGAGUUCCCUCAUGUUAGCAGCACAGCCAUGAACUGAGUCCAUGCGUGCAGCUACGAAGUCAUCCACCAUGCAGUCGAAUGCUGCCUCCAGGGCUCGGAGGUACUCGACAAGCAUCUCAAAGGCUUCGUCUCGCUCUCCUCUGGGGCAAGAGAACGAGUAGUGACAGGUGUAAGGCACAUGGCAAGGAAGGUAGCGGUAGCGACGGGUCUUCAUUGCAGGAAGAACAUCCCGAAGAUGGGUUAUUGCCUCGCGGGCAGCCAUCUGCAUAGCAUGCCUUUCUGUAGGCAUGGCUCUCCCCACGAAUCGGAGACGGCGUACUUCGGCAUGGCCUCCCCUGAAUUGCACCGCGGCCUGGUGCAUAGUCAGACUGUCGUUGAUCUUGUGUGGAUAAAGCGUGAAGACUGGGCACACAGAUGGCCCCAUCGCGUCCUGAACGAUGAAGGAGAGGAGUUUGACGAACCCCUCAGGCACGUUGGCGAACAUCUGAGACUCGCAGUCGUUGCCGGCCAUCUACAAAAGUAGGCAAAAAUUCUGAGUGGUCAGAACAUAAAUUUUAUGCCGACUGUCAGAAAAUGACUACAAUUGUAAAAACAUGAAUAACUCUAUCAUGCUAAUAACCAAUUAGCGAUCGCACCUAGUGGCUUCCUACAGUCUGCCUGGCUCUGAUUACCAAGUCUGUCACGACCGGUUUUUCAAUAAGAAUAGUUAUUGAGAAAACCAAUCUUUAAAUCCCAGUAUAGGAAAAGUCAUCCUUUCUGGUAGACAAAAGCUUGAUAAACAGAGAACCAGUAGCACCAAAUAUAUUACAGGGUUGAGCUGAGGCAGCUCAACAAUUUAUUACAGACUCGCCAAUAUAUUACAUAUGGGCGGUUAUGACACGGGGGUGGGGUGGCAUGCUACUAGUUCGAGGGCAAAGUGGUGGUGGAUAACUUGACUUCUACUGGCAGUACAUCGAGCGUCGAGGUGAGGCUCGAUGAAUUUAUUCGGGAUUGCGGAAGCGGAUAAUACAAUGACCAAGACAGGAUCGCACAGGACUGACUGGGACUCCUCUAGGCGUCGGACUCGCUAUCAUACUCUUCAUCCAAGAGAUCGCCUUCAUCAUCAUCUGGCCAAAUCAACAAGCCAGGUGAGUACUUGAAAGUACCCGCAAGACAGUUCAGACAAAAGAUAUAAUCAAUGAAUGCAUGAAUGCGUCAUGAACAAAGUAUGAUGUUCAAAUACAACAGAAUUAUUGCAGAACUUGAUGCAACAAAAUUUAAUAAUUAAAAACCGAUCGGGUGUCUGGAGCGACGCCUCGAAAGGUAAAUAAAUAAAAAAAUGCAUGCCGCAGUCGGGCGUCUUAGCAACACCACUUAAAGGGCUUUAAAAGAAAUGCCACCGUCGGACGUCUGAGCGACAUCACUGACAGGGCUUUAAAAGAAAUACCACAGUCGGACGUCUGAGCGACAUCACAGAAAGGGCUUAAAAAGAAAUACCACCGUCGGACGUCUGAGCGACAUCACAGACAGGGCUUUAAAAGAAAUACCACCGUCGGACGUCUGAGCGACAUCACAGACAGGGCUUUNNNNNNNNNNNNNNNNNNNNNNNNNNNNNNNNNNNNNNNNNNNNNNNNNNNNNNNNNNNNNNNNNNNNNNNNNNNNNNNNNNNNNNNNNNNNNNNNNNNNNNNNNNNNNNNNNNNNNNNNNNNNNNNNNNNNNNNNNNNNNNNNNNNNNNNNNNNNNNNNNNNNNNNNNNNNNNNNNNNNNNNNNNNNNNNNNNNNNNNNNNNNNNNNNNNNNNNNNNNNNNNNNNNNNNNNNNNNNNNNNNNNNNNNNNNNNNNNNNNNNNNNNNNNNNNNNNNNNNNNNNNNNNNNNNNNNNNNNNNNNNNNNNNNNNNNNNNNNNNNNNNNNNNNNNNNNNNNNNNNNNNNNACCGUCGGACGUCUGAGCGACAUCACGGACAUGCCUUUAAAAAUAAAUACCUCCGUCGGACGUCUGAGCGACAUCACAGACAGGGCUUUAAAAAGAAAUACCACCAUCGGACGUCUGAGCGACAUCACAGGCAAGGCUUUAACAAUAGCAAAAUAACAGGUAUGCCACCGUCGGACGUCUGAGCGACAUCACAGACAGGGCCUUGUAAAAAAUGUAAAUAACGAGAUUAGUUCAUCCACAAGAAUAAUCUUUUAACCGGAAUUAUUUCACAAAAAACCCAUUGGAGUUUUUGUCACCGAGGCUGAAUACCUGACAAGAUAAGACAAUUAUAGUACUUGAACAAAGUACAAGAUAAUUGAAAGAUUGAGGCUCUAACAGAGUUUGGAAGAACUGAACACAGACAACGGAUUUCCGUAGUCACGAAGGACUAGUUCCGUUUACGGUAUUUCAGUAGAAACACAUUUAACUAGUACACACCCAUUUCACCUCACGAUGCCAGGAAUCACCCUGGACAACGUCCAAGAAAAACUUUGAGACGGGGAGGCCACAACCUCGAAUAGCAUGGGAUCAAAUUUCUAUACGCGCGCUCUAAGGGGUGCCCCCCUCUCGGUCCCAACCGGAAACACCCAUGCCCCCUGACCGGAUGACGGGCUUUAAUCCAGGGCCAUGGAACCCUCAUCCCGGCCUCUCCACUUGGUGUGUACCAGGAAAACGAUUUGCAACUUACUAUGCCAUAUUCCUUUCGGAAAACAUGUGACAGUAUAGGAUGGAAUGAAUGGAAAUGUGAAUUGUGUCAUGACGACACGGAAGUCAAAUAAUCUGGCAUAAGACUGGCAUGUCACAACACUGCCAUCUUACCCAUCCUCAUACCAACACAUGGCUUUGCAAAUAUGUAUCCAACAACAUAAUGCUUUCCGAAACUUACUUUCCGAUUACGUGCAUGCGAUAUAUCAUGCAAGCUGAUGUUCAUAAACAUGCCAUGACUAUACUAAAAUGCAAACAUGCAACAACACUCAUCAUAUCAAGAGUUCAAACAUGCUUGCCUGGUUCGGAGUAGUCGGAGUCUAACUGUGCGAAGUUUGCGGCUCCGUCACCUCCUCCGGUAUCUACGGUAUAAGAAAAAUAUGUACGCAACGUAAAUACCGUGAGUGUACAGAAAAGUGUUCCAAAUAUUUUACAAAUAAAUAUGAUAAAAAACUAGACAAAAAUCUAAAGAGAACAGAAAAAGAAUCACCCAAAAAUUCCCUUCUGAUAAAAAGUUAUAAGUGUUUUAACCCAAGGACUCGUCUGUAAUGAAACAAAAAACUUCCAAGGGGUUCAGCGUAAAAGUACAGAUAACGUUUCGUUUAAAAGAAAUGGCUGUGAGGCUGACAGGCGGGCUCCACCUGUCGGGUUUGAAAGUUCAAACAGAGAAACAGAGCGCGACGGCGCCCGAGAGGUGCGGUGGUCGCCGGCGGCGAUCCACGGCGAGGCAAGGCGAUCGGGGGUUACCUUCGAGAUCAGUGCACCGUUCCGCGUCUGUGGGUGGUGGUGGUGGUCGCCGGCGAGCACUGUGUCGACGGCGGCCCUUGCUCCGGCGGACGGCAGUUCGGGCAGUCGUGGAUCUCGCCAGAGGGAGCUGCGGGGAUCAAAUAGGAGUGGGGGUUAGUCUCCUAGUUGCUCGUGAGGGCUGCUGACGAAGUUAGAGCGCCGGAGACGGCCUCACCGGAGCGAAUUGCGGUGGAGUCCGAGGCGGAGCGGGGUGGCCAGAGUCUGGGAAGAAGGGCCCCUCGGGGCUCUCCCAGUGGCUGGGCGGGAUCUAGUGAGGUGGUGGAGUCGUGCGGGGGCGAGAGCAGGCUCGGGGGUGCUAUAUAUAGCCGGCCCGAGUCGGUUGCCGUGAACGGAUAAGUCCGGCGAGUUGAUUACGGCGGCGCUGUGGCCGGACGGUCGGCUUAGGGGUUUGAGCAUCGCCUAGGUGAAGUAGUGGUGCCAUUUUAGGGUCCAGCUCAGCACGGGAGGGAGGUUUACGGCCUGCCCUCGACGGAACGGCCGCACGGCCCAUCGGUGGCAGAGAGCGCGCUCUGCGCGUGUCGCACCACGGCGACGGUGCUGCAUGCGUGCGCUGGCAAGGAGGUGGCCACGCGGAGCUACCAGGACGCUUGGGCGGCGCCGAACGGCGUUGCGCCGCCGUUCUGCUUCCUGUUGGCCGCUACGGCGCUACGGCCACCGCAAGACACGCCGGCGCAGGCAGGCCAGGGCGCCACCGACGCCAGGAAGGCGCCAAGCGCGCGUGUGAGGCCCCGGACAAGCAAGCCUGGCCGUGAGCUACGUGCCAAGCGCACUGUGAGCUCGUGACUGAAGUCACUGACGAAGAUCAACACUGAAUUCUGAAUUUAACUGAAUAUGACUAGAACAGUGCAUGCAAGGUGUUCGACAGAAUGAUCCAGGCAUGUAGGGAUUUUUCCUUGAGCUGGUUUUUGGUGGAGGGACCUCUCAUUGCACCUAGAGGCUUCCUGAAUAUUUGUGGAAUUUUUGGAGAUGUAUAGAUAUGAAUUUCACCAAAUUUGGCAAAUCUGGUCCAAACUUGCAGUGAGUGCAAUUUGAAAAUUUUGAACAGGAGAAGAGUGGAUCAAGAGUGUUCUGGGUUGUGGGUACAAAGGACUAUCCAGGGGUGUUGAGAUGAGGUCAAAAAUCAAAAGCAUUAAAGCACUUGCUUUGCAAUCCACCUAGGCUCAAAAGUAUAGACAGAAUUAUUUUGGGAGGAGAAAUAGUUGGAAUAAAAUCCAAAAAUGGAUUUUAUUAGUUUUGACAGAAUUUUUGUGUUGAACUAAAGUGGGAGGAAAGGUUUUUGGGAAAAAUUUCAGCAUAGGAAGCAUGGUGAAAUUUUUGAAGGGAUCAAAACCACAAAGAGCCCAAAACUAAAAGGGUUUUCAUUUUAAAAGAAACCAAAUCCAAGAAAAGGAUUUUUGAGAGGGCAAACUUAGAAGAUAGUUUUUAGGAAGGGUUUAAAUGACAUUCUUUCAAACCAAGCAAGGUUCUUUCUGAAAACAAAAAAAAAUCACAAAAAUCUUGGAGUGUCACACUGGGCAUCCCGGCGACUAGCCAUUUUUCUCGUGAAUGAGGAGUGGAGUCCACUCCUCUUGAGAAUAACCGCCUAACAUGGAAGAUAAGGGCAGCCCUAGUUGAACAUGAGCUGCUCGAGCAUACAAAACAGAAUUUCAUUUGAAGGUUUGGAGUUUGGCACAUACAAAUUUACUUGGAACGGCAGGUAGAUACCGCAUAUAGGAAGGUAUAGUGGACUCAUAUGGAACAACUUUGGGGUUUAAGGAGUUUGGAUGCACAAGCAGUAUUCCCGCUUAGUACAGGUGAAGGCUAGCAAAAGACUGGGAAGCGACCAACUGAGAGAGCGACAACAGUCGUAAACAUGCAUUAAAAUUAAUUUACACCGAAUACAAGCAUGAGUAGGAUAUAAUCUACCAUGAACAUAAAUAUCAUGAAGGCUAUGUUGAUUUGAUUCAGCUACAUGCGUGAACAUGUGCCAAGUCUAGUCACUCAAUUCAUUUAAAGGAGGAUACCAUCCUAUCAUACCACAUCAUAAUCAUUCUAAUAGCAUGUUGGCACGCAAGGUAAACCAUUAUAACUCAUAGCUAAUCAAUCAUGGCACAAGCAACUAUAAUCUCUAAAUGUCAUUGCAAAUAUGUUUACUUCAUAAUAGCUAACUCAGGAACGAUGAAUCAUCAUAUUUACAAAAACAAGAGAGGUCAAGUUCAUACCAGCUUUUCUCAUCCCAAUAAGUCCAUCAUAUAUCAUCAUUAUUGCCUUUCACUUGCACGACCGAACGAUGUGUAUAAUAAUAAGAGUGCACGUGCAUUGGACUAAGCUGGAAUCUGCAAGCAUUCAACUCAAGAGAGAAGACAAGUAAUAUGGGCUCUAAGUUAAAUAAACAUUCAUGCAUAUAGGAGCCACUAAGCAUUUUCAAUAUGGUCUUCUCGACCCCCAAAGAAAGGAAAAGAAAUAAAAACUAUUUACACGGGAAAGCUCCCAACAAACAAAAGAAGAACGGGAAAUAUUUUUGGGUUUUCUUUUUAAUUACUACAAAAAAGAAAUAAACUACUACUAUUUUUUUGUUUUUUCUUAAGGUUUAUCAAACACACAAGAAGAAAGCAGGAAAAAGAAAAUAAACUAGCAUGGAUAUUACAGUGAAACGGUAUGAGCACCGACAUCUAGCAAUGAGUGUGUGUGAACAUAAAUGUAAUGUCGGUGGGAAAGACGUACUCCCCCAAGCUUAGGCUUUUGGCCUAAGUUGGUCUAUUGCCAGGGAUAGCCUGGCGGAUACCCGUAGGUGAAGCUGGGGUCAUACUGUGAUGCAGCUACUAUCGCCGCCUGAGCUGUAGCGUGGCGUCGAGCAGCCUCCGCUCUCCUCUCGUACUCAUCCGCCUCCUCUCUGGUAAUAAUAUAUCUUCCUUUUGUCUGAAAAUCAAAGAAGGCAGGAGCAGGAAGAGCAAUAUGGACUACAUGACGUUUGUUAAAGAUUGGUCGAUACUGGAGAGGUGGUUCAGUCCUCUCAACAAACUGGUGGGAAACCAUAGAAUCAAAAUCUAAAUAAGAAGGGGGUAACUCCAUAUCACCCUCACGAAUGUCUAUCUCAAGAAAAUUAGCUAAGCGGGUUGCAUAAAUUCCUCCAAAGAAAUCUCCGUUAUGUCUAUUCUGAUGCAACCUAUGAGUUACAAUGGCUCCCAUAUGAUAAGAUUGGUAUCCUAACACAGCACUCCUAAGAAUGCUGAGAUCAGGGACACACAUGUGACAUGCUUCAUCCUUAGCAUUUAUGCAUCUACCUAUAAAGAGAGCAAAAUAAUGUAUAGCAGGAAAGUGAAUGCUUCCUAAAGUGGCUUGUGUUAUAUCUCUAGAUUCCCCCACGAUUAUUCUAGAAAGAAAGUCUCUAUAUUCAGAUUUAGGGGGAUCCCUGACACUACCCCAUGAUGGAAGUUUGCAAGAAGAAGUGAAAUCCUCUAAGUCCAUGGUAUAAGAUUUGUCAUAAAGGUCAAACAUGACUGAAGGAGAAUUACGCGAAGAUGAAAACUCAAACCUCCUCACAAAUGAACUUGUGAGAUCAUGAUACUGGGGGCAUUUGUCAGCUUCAAAGUCCUCAAGACCGACGUUGCGCAAAUAUGCGCUAAAUUCUUCUUUGAUUCCCACUUGAUUCAUAAAAUUUUCCGAAGGCCAUUCACAGGGCCUCACAGGAGCGUCUCUUGGUGGUUCCUCGUCAGCAUCACGUAUUGCAAGUCUAGGACCUUGCUUCCUUGAAGGACCACCUUGGAACAUCCUCCUAAACAUAUUGUUUCCUAUGAAAAAUUUCUGAAAUUUUUAGUAACUUCAAAUAAAAGUGAACCAAGUUCAAUAAAAUUGAUAGUAACAACUCCCACAAGUGCCUAGAGCCUAUAUCAAGCAUUAAAACUACUUGGAACCAUAUGAAUUUGACAUGCAAGCUCAAGAACAUGGUCACCUAUGCAACACAAAUUUGCAAUGAAUAAAGCACUAGAACAAAAACUAAUUGAACCAUUGGAGGAGUCACAUACCAAGGAGCAAUCUCCCUAAGCAGUUUUGCGAGAGGUGCUUUGAGCAAAGAGAUCGAAAAUCACAGCAACAGGGGCUGGAACUCGUGCUUGAGUUGGUUUUUCGUGUUUGUGUGAGACAGAGGAAGAAGAUGGGUGCAGGGAUAAGUGGAGGAGGGCCACCAUGGGCACACGAGGUAGGGGGCGUGCACAGGGGGUAGGGCGCGUCCUCCACCCUCGUGACCAGGUGGCAGCUCCCCCCGCGGUGAUUUUUGCACAGUAAAUCCUCAAAUAUUCCUGAAAAAAUCAUAUUAAAUUGGCAUGGCAUUCUGAGGACUUUUAUUUUUGGAAUAUUUUUAUAUUGCACGGAUAAGUCAGGAAACAGACAGAAAAAUACUAUUUUACUUUAUUUCUACUAAAUAACAAAAAAUGUAAAGAGGGUACAUAAGGUUGUGCUUCUAAUUUCAUCCAUCUCAUGCUCAUAAAAAAGAAUCCACUAACAAGGUUGAUCAAGUCUUGUUAACAAACUCAUUCCGAUAAUCAUGGAACCGGAGAAAUUUCGAAUAGCACUAAGUUACCUCAACGGGGAUAUGAAAAUCCCCAACAAUAAGAAUAUCAUACUUUUUCUUGACAGUAGGGAGAGGAAAUUCAAAACCUCCAAAUAUAAUCGAUGGAAUUUUUCCAAUAUAGUUGAUACUAUAAACUUGAGGUUGUUUCCUUGGGAAGUGUACCGUGUGCUCAUUGCCAUUAACAUGAAAAGUGACAUUGCCUUUGUUGCAAUCAAUAACAGCCCCUGCAGUAUUAAGAAAAGGUCUUCCAAGAAUAAUACACAUACUAUCAUCCUCGGGAAUAUCAAGAAUAACAAAGUCCGUUGAAAUAGUAAUGUUUGCAACCACAACAGGCACAUCCUCACAAAUACCGACAGGUAUAGCGGUUGAUUUAUCAGCCAUUUGCAAAGAUAUUUCAGUAGGUGUCAACUUAUUCAAGUCAAGUCUACGAUAUAAAGAGAGAGGCAUAACACUGACACCGGCUCCAAGAUCACAUAAAGCAGUUUUAACAUAAUUUCUCUUAAUGGAGCAUGGUAUAGUAGGUACUUCGGGAUCUCCAAGUUUCUUUGGUAUUCCACCCUUAAAAGUAUAAUUAGCAAGCAUGGUGGAAAUUUCGGUUUCAGGUAUCUUUCUUUUAUUAGUAAUGAUAUCCUUCAUAUACUUAGCAUACGGAUUUGUUUUGAGCACAUCAGUUAAUCGCAUACGCAAAAAGAUGGGUCUAAUCAUUUCGGCAAAGCGCUCAAAAUCCUCAUCAUCCUUUUUCUUGGAUGGUUUUGGAGGAAAAGGCAUGGGUUUCUGAACCCAUGGUUCCCUUUCUUUACCAUGUUUCCUAGCAACGAAGUCUCUUUUAUAAUAAUGUUGAUCCUUUGAUUGUGGGUUAUCAAGAUCAACAGUAGGUUCAACUUCUACAUCAUUAUCAUUACUAGGUUGAGCAUCAACAUGAACAUCAUCAUUAACAUUUUCACUAGGUUCAUGUUCAUCACCCGAUUGUGUUUCAGCAUCAGACAUAGAGAUAUCAUUUGGAUUCUCAGGUGGUUCAGCAAUAGGUUCACUAGAAGUUUGCAAAGUCCUGUCAUUUUUAUUUUUCUUCCUCUUAGAAGAACUAGGUAGAUCAAUAUUAUUUCUCUGAGAAUCUUGCUCGAUUCUCUUAGGGUGGCCUUCAGGAUACAAAGGUUCCUGAGUUAUUCUACCAGUUCUAGUAGCCAUUCUAACAGCAUAAUCAUUUUUCUUACUAUUCAUUUCAUCAAGCACUUCUUUCUGAGCUUUAAGUACUUGUUCUACUUGAGUGGUAACCAUAGAAGCAUGUUUGCUAACAAGUUUAAGUUCACCUCUAAUAUCAGCCAUAUAAUCACCCAAGCGUUUAAUCAUAAAGGUAUUCUGUUUCAAUUGUCUACCAAAAUAAGCAUUAAAGUCAUCUUUCUUAAACAUAAAGUCAUCAAACUCAUCCAAGCACUGACUAGCAAUUUUAGUAGGAGGAACUUCAGCUUUAUCAUAUCUAUAGAGAGAAUUUACCUUUACUACCUGUGUUGGGAUAUUGGGAGGUUCUUCAGUAAAUAAGCAAUUGAGAUCAUAUACUUCUUCAACAGGUGGUAAAUUAAGGCCAUGUAUUUCUUCAAUAGGAGGUAAAUUCUUAACAUCUUCAGCUUUAAUACCUUUUUCUUUCAUAGAUUUCUUUGCCUCUUGCAUAUCUUCGGGACUGAGAAAUAGAACACCUCUCUUCUUCGGAGUUGGUUUAGGAAUAGGCUCAGUAAUUGGCUCAGGAGCUGGCUCAGGAGGUGGCUCGGGAGAUGCCCAAUUAUUUUCAUUUGUCAACAUAUUAUUCAAUAGAAUUUUAGCUUCAUCCAGUGUUCUUUCCCUGAAAAGAGAACCAGCACAACUAUCCAGGUAAUCUCUGGAAGCAUCAGUUAGUCCAUUAUAAAAGAUAUCAAGUAUUUCAGGUUUCUUAAGAGGAUGAUCAGACAAAGCAUUAAGUAACUUGAGAAGCCUCCCCCAAGCUUGUGGGAGACUCUCUUCUUCAAUUUGCACGAAGUUGUAUAUUUCCCUCAAAGCAGCUUGUUUCUUAUGAGCAGGGAAAUAUUUAGCAGAGAAGUAAUAAAUCAUAUCCUGGGGACUUUGCACACAACCAGGAUCAAGAGAAUUAAACCAUAUCUUAGCAUCACCCUUUAAUGAGAAAGGAAAUAGUUUGAGUAAAUAAAGGUAGCGCGAUCUCUCAUUAUUAGUAAACAGGGCAGCUAUAUCAUUUAACUUAGUAAGAUGUGCCACAACAGUUUGAGAUUCAUAACCAUAGAAAGGAUCAAAUUCAACCAAAGUAAUUAUAUCUGGAUCAACAGAAAAAUCAUAAUAAUCCUUAUCGGGAACACAGAUAGGUGAAGUAGCAAAAGCAGGGUCGGGUCUCAUUCUAUCUCUAAGAGAUUCUUUACUCCACUUAACUAGCAACCUCUUAAGUUCAUAUCUAUCAUGGCAAGCAAAAAUAGCUGCAGAAGAUUCCGCAUCAAAAAGAUAACCCUCAGGAAUAGCAGGCAUAUUCUCAUCAUCACUAUCAUCAUCGUAUUCAGAUUCAAUAAUUUCUCUUUCUCUAGACCUAGCAAUUUGCUCAUCGAGGAAUUCACCGAGGGGCACAAUAGUAUCAAGCAUAGAAGUAGUUUCAUCAUAAGUAUCAUGCAUAGCAGAAGUGGCAUCAUCAAUAACAUACGACAUAUCAGAAUUCAUAGCAUAGCAGGUUUAGGUGUCGCUAGCUUACUUAUAACAGAAGGAGAAUCUAGUGCAAGGCUAGAUGGCAGUUCCUUACCCCCCCCCCUCGUAGUUGAGGGCAAAAUAGUAGUUCGAUCGUCUUUCAAGUUCUUCAUAGUAUCCAGCAGAUAUAAAUCCCAAGUGACUCAAAGAAUAGAGCUAUGCUGCCCGGCAACGGUGCCAGAAAAAGGUCUUGAUAACCCACAAGUAUAGGGGAUCGCAACAGUUUUCGAGGGUAGAGUAUUCAACCCAAAUUUAUUGAUUCGACAUAAGGGGAGCCAAAGAAUAUUCUCAAGUAUUAGCAGCUGAGUUGUCAAUUCAACCACACCUGGAAACUUAGUAUCUGCAGCAAAGUGUUUAGUAGCAAAGUAAUAUGAUAGUGGUGGUAACGGUAACAAAAGUAAAGACAGCAAAAGUAAUGUUUUUGGUAUUUUGUAGUGAUUGUAACAGUAGCAACGGAAAAGUAAAUAAGCGAGAACCGGUAUAUGGAAACCUCGUAGGCGCCGGAUAAGUGAUGGAUAAUUAUGCCGGAUGUGGUUCGUCAUGUAACAGUCAUAACAUAGGGUGACACGGAACUAGCUCCAAUUCAUCAAUGUAAUGUAGGCAUGUAUUCCGUAUAUAGUCAUACGUGCUUAUGGAAAAGAACUUGCAUGACAUCUUUUGUCCUACCCUCCCGUGGCAGCGGGGUCCUAUUGGAAACUAAGGGAUAUUAAGGCCUCCUUUUAAUAGAGAACCGGAACAAAGCAUUAGCACAUAGUGAAUACAUGAACUCCUCAAACUAUGGUCAUCACCGGGAGUGGUCCCGAUUAUUGUCACUUCGGGGUUGCCGGAUCAUAACACAUAGUAGGUGACUAUAGACUUGCAAGAUAGGAUCAAGAACACACAUAUAUUCAUGAAAACAUAAUAGGUUCAGAUCUGAAAUCAUGGCACUCGGGCCCUAGUGACAAGCAUUAAGCAUAGCAAAGUCAUAGCAACAUCAAUCUCAGAACAUAAUGGAUACUAGGGAUCAAACCCUAACAAAACUAACUCGAUUACAUGAUAAAUCUCAUCCAACCCAUCACCGUCCAGCAAGCCUACGAUGGAAUUACUCACGCACGGCGGUGAGCAUCAUGAAAUUGGUGAUGGAGGAUGGUUGAUGAUGACGACGACGACGAAUCCCCCUCUCCGGAGCCCCGAACGGACCCCAGAUCAGCCCUCCCGAGAGAGAUUAGGGCUUGGCGGCUGCUCCGUAUCGUAAAACGCGAUGAUUUCGUUUCUCUAAUUUUUUUUCUCCCCGAAAGCCAAUAUAUAGAGUUGGAGUUGGCGUCGGAGGGCCAACAGGGGGCCCACAAGGUAGGGGGCACGCCCCCCACCCUCGUGGACAGGGUGUGGGCCCCUUGGUCUUCAUCUUUGGCGAGGAUUUUUAUUGUUUUUUCUAAGGUGUUCCGUGGAGUUUCAGGUCAUUCCGAGAACUUUUAUUUUCUACACAUAAAACAACACCAUGGCAAUUCUGCUGAAAACAGCGCCAGUCCGGGUUAGUUCCAUUCAAAUCAUACAAGUUAGAGUCCAAAACAAGGGCAGAAGUGUUUGGAAAAGUAGAUACGACGGAGACGUAUCAGUGAUGACCGCGUGAACAAUGCACCUUUUAGUCCUCUACACACACCGGCCGAAGGGAUCCGGCUGGAUCUGUGGCCAGCGGUGAGCAGAGAGAAAAUGUCACUACCGCUGUCUUGUUUAUAUCUGGAGAGGAUGAGAGAAUGAAGAGAGCAACCCUAGUAAAGCAAGCGCUCAGGCCCCUGCGUCCAUAUAUAGUGGAGUGAUUAUCUUUUUUCUCUCCACAACAAGCGUUUCAAUUUGUGUACGUGGCAUUAAAGAAAAGAAACUCUCUAUUUAAGGUGACUACUGUACGACUCCUACUUACUACUAGUAGUACUACAGUAUUGUUCACUUGUGCUCCCCGCCCCUCCAUUCAUUGAACAACCCCACGGAUGAAUAAACAUACAAUAAGUACUGUAUUUAUAUAGAAUAGAACGAACAAGCUCGAACUAUUUUUGCGUAGUUAAAAGUUGAGGGCGGGGCUUUUCCCGGGCAGUACGCGCGGCAGUUUUCGGGUAGGCGGUUUGACAGAGAGGCGAGGAGGGUGAGCGAGUGGCAGAUUCUCAAACAUACUGCUGGAAAGGUCGGGCUGUGCGAUUUGACGGUGCGUUACUGCUGGAAAGACUUGUGAUAUGACCACUCACUAUAGUCAUGAAUUACUGGCGCUCCGACCGGGGUGAUGCCCCCCUCCUGUUCCGCGCUCUAAUCUGGUGCAUGACACGUCGACCCGGAUGCUGGCUCUCCCACAUGUCGGAGUAGUAAGAAGGAGCAAAGAAUGAUGCGGUAUAUACUAGUACUACUACUACCCAGGUCGGAGGAGUGCGAACCACGGCAGCCCAGUGAACCAGCAAUGCGAACCACGGCAGCCCAGUGAACAAGCAGUUCGAACCAUGGUAGCCCAGUGAACCAGCAGUAGAAAACAAUGUGGUGAUAUGGCCAUAAAAAACAAUGUGCUACGGUCCACACUGUAGCAUGUAAAGUAACACUCCUCUUUGUUUGGAUCCCUGAGUUAGAGCUAGUUUGGGUUGAAAUAGCCUCAAAUUAUCGAAACAAGAGGGGUUAGUUUGAGCUAGUUUGCUCUAACCUAGCUAAAAAAACUAGCCCGAUGGAGAGGUUCUAAUUUGGUUAGUUAUCCUCGGGCCCACCAAAAGUGAACUAAAAAAAUUUCCCAUGCCCGCAUGAGAUCACUCCCCCCCCUCUCGCACGACUCCUCUCUGUUCCCCAUAGGGCCGCCCGCCCAAGCACCGCUCGCCCUCUCUCUCCUCCGGCCACCCUCUCCUUCCGUCCUCCGCCGCCCUACUCUGGCCGCCCUCUCCCUCCGGGCUUCGAAGGUCGCCCUGCUCCCCCUUCACCAGUCUUUUUCUCCCUCUGUCGUACGCGGCGGCGGCACAUCUACCAGGGAGGUCGCGAGAGGGUGAGUUUGUUCAUUCCUUCUCUGUCUCACGGUCAUAUCAUUGAUCUUGCUUGCUCUAGCGCUAAUUCUGAUUUGGAAAAGUAGAUCCUGAUCAAACUUGGUAUAGAUUUGUGGUGCAUGCAUGGAAUUGUUUGAUGCUGCUUGAGGAGGUAAUCAAUCUUUCUAGAGGCCCAAUGAUUCAGUUCACCUUUCUAGGUAUUUCAAUUUCAGGCUUGCAUUAUUUCUAGAGGCCCAAAGAUUCAGUUCACCUUUCUAGGUAUUUCAGUUUCAGGCUUGCGUUAUUUCUAGAGGCCCAAAGAUUCAGUUCACCUUUCUAAGUAUUUCAAUUUCAGGCUUGCAUUAUUUCUAGGGGCCCAAAGAUUCAGUUCACCUUUCUAGGUAUUUCAGUUUCAGGCUUGCAUUAUUUCUAGAGACCCAAAGAGCCAGUUCACCUUUCUAGGUAUUUAAAUUUCAGGCUUGCAUUAUUUCUAGAGGCCCAAAGAUUCAGUUCACCUUUCUAGGUAUUUUAGUUACAGGCUUGCAUUAUUUCUAUAUGCCCAAAGAUUAAGUUCCCAGUCAGCAGCAAGCAGCCCUGCUACCGAUGCCGGUGUCGACCUCAACUCGGAAGGGCCGAUGUCGGAGGGGUUCCCGGGGCUUGGGCUCUACAGAGCCUUCCUCCAGAGCGACGAUGGCGAGCUCCUCCCUCGGUGCGUGAGGGGCUCCGGGCUCCCUCCCUAUCGUGAAUGACUUCCGUGAUGAGUUAGCUCAUGCUUUGUUCAUGAAGUGUUUUUUUUAUUUUGUGAAGCUUGAUUGAUGACUUGUAUGUUUAAGUGGGAUAUCUCAUUUGUAUGGACAAAGUAAAAAUUAUCAUGUUUUGCAUGCUUGAUUUGUAUAGAUGGUUCGUUUAUGUCAAUUGUGAGCGGGAGGAGGCCACAGAAGAGCCGGCCACACCAAAUCCGGCAGGAAAUAGGGUCCAAAGUAGUCAAAUGAUUAAGAAAGAGCAUUUAUUGUCAAUCUAACCCUGCCAUCCAUACACCUCUUUGGUUUAGAGUUAGUUCAGGGUUAGAAUCUAACUCUAACCUCUAACUGAGUUAGAGUUCUCCUCGUCUCGGUUCAUCGCCAUCAUACUUUCCCCAUUCCUGUGUUUUCGGUAUCCUGCGAAUCAAAGAGGCCCUUUUUUGCGGGAAAAAUCAAAGAGGCCCUUAGACUGGUUUAGAUCCGGUCAUUUUUUAUAAACGUGUUAUGUCCAAAAUUUAAUGAACGUGCUCUGGUUUCCACGAAAAUAAUUCGGUUUCAUGUAGUAAUUCAUUCAUUUAUUUAUUCUUCUACGGGGGGUUUGCAUGUAAUUCAUGAGGUCUGAAAUGUAAAGUACCCCGGCAUAUGCUCCGAGUCAUGCAUGCACCACGACCCAGAUGCUCUAUGUCCCACAUGUCGGCGAAUGGGAGCAUGUGGAAAUAGCCUAGGAGUACAUAUAGGAGGAUAAAUGCGUGAAAAAAUAUGUACUGUGAAGCAUAGCCGUGGUUCAAAAAGGAGACCUAAAGUGAUGACAGCUAUAGGUCGCACGCAUCCAACUAGUGGUACUAGACAUACGACUAAUUUUUCCCUAAAAAAAGAGGCACGAGUGCUCAGUACUCCUAUUCUAGAAACACGAGUCCCAUCUGACAAUAGCGUCCGUGCUACAGCUAGCUCUCCUUCCCCGUUUCUCUCUUCUAAUUCUAAACUCGGCCGACGCCCGGUGGGCGGGGUGGGUUUGCUCAACUGCGGCCCCACCUCACAGUGAAAACAUUACGAGUGGAGUAAAAAUGCCAUAUACUCCCUCCGUUCCUAAAUAUAAGCCUUUUCAGAUACUAUUUCAAAUGGAAUACAGCAUACAGAUGUAUGUAGACAUAGUUUAGAGUGUAGAUUCACUAUUUUUUUAUUAUGCAUGUCAGAUAUUGUACACAAUCGUACUGAACAUGUAGAGAAAAAGAGAAGACCGUUGCGUGGGAAUAUAAUGUCAUGCAGACGCCGCUCCAUCGUGGGCGAAGUGCCCCCCCCCCCCUCCUGCAUUUCCAGAUUGUAUUCCAGAGGAAGAUAACUGUUCAGAUGGAGAUUCAGAAGGAGCUGACCACGCCUGUUUACCACCUGAGGUGUUUGCUCUAACCUGGCAUGCUGAUGUUGGUCAUAUCAUGCAUAUGGCGCCUUGCAUUUCUUACAUUAUACAUCUUAUAUGUCAUCAGCUUUGUUUAGAUUUGCUUUGUGUGAAUGCCACCUGUUUGGUUUCUAUAUCAUACUCCCACCAUUCCUAAAUAUUUGUCUUUUUAGAGAUUUCAACAAGUAACUACAUAUGGAACAAAAUGAGUGAAUCUACACUCUAAAAUAUGUCUAUAUACAUCUGUAUGUGGUAGUCCAUUUGAAAUCUCUAAAAAGACAAAUAUUUAGGAACGGAGGGAGUAUAUGGGAAUUAUGCAAUGCCAUCUUCUUUAGCCAGGCAUCAUAUACGUGAAUCAUGCAAUGCCAUCCUGUUUAGCCAGUCAUCAUAUAUAUGAAUUGUAUUGUGCCAUAUUUUUUUCCAUAAUGUAUUCCAUUUGUCAACAAUGUUUAUACAUUCAUCUACUCUUCAUGUGCAUCAGCCAUUUGAGUCGGUCAUAGGAAAAUCUGGAGUGAAAACAAGGUCUUCUGAGUAGUCAGUGCUACCUGUCAAUGCAGAUUUCUUGCUGGUUACAGAUAGCUCCUCAGAGGAGGAUUCAGAGACAGAUGGCCAGUNNNNNNNNNNNNNNNNNNNNNNNNNNNNNNNNNNNNNNNNNNNNNNNNNNNNNNNNNNNNNNNNNNNNNNNNNNNNNNNNNNNNNNNNNNNNNNNNNNNNNNNNNNNNNNNNNNNNNNNNNNNNNNNNNNNNNNNNNNNNNNNNNNNNNNNNNNNNNNNNNNNNNNNNNNNNNNNNNNNNNNNNNNNNNNNNNNNNNNNNNNNNNNNNNNNNNNNNNNNNNNNNNNNNNNNNNNNNNNNNNNNNNNNNNNNNNNNNNNNNNNNNNNNNNNNNNNNNNNNNNNNNNNNNNNNNNNNNNNNNNNNNNNNNNNNNNNNNNNNNAACUUGGCUGGGUUAUAUUGCUCAUAUCAUGCAUAUGGUGUCUUGCAUUGCCAUGCCAUCUGCUUAGAUUAGACAUGCUUUGUGUGAAUGCCUCCUAUUUGCUUUCUAUAUCAGAUAUGUGAAUUAUGCAAUGCCAUGUUUUUCAGCCAGUUAUCAUAUAUGUGAAUUAUGCACCAACAUGGAGCCAGACAUCAUAUAUGUGAAUUAUCUCAUGCCAUCUUUUUUUCAAUUACGUAUUCCAUUUGUCGACAAUCUGUGUAUAUUGAACUACUCUUCAUGUGUAUCAUCCAUUUGAGCCAGUUAUGGAAAAAUCUAGAGUGAAAACAAGGUCUUUAGAGUAGGCAAUGGUACAUGUUGAAGCAUAUAUCUCGAUGGUUACAGGGAGCUCCUCAGAGGAGGAUUCAGAGAUAGAUGACCAGUCUUAUAUCCCACCUGAGGUGUAUGCUCUAAGUUGCAAUGUUUAUAUUUCUCAUAUGAUGCAUAUGGUGUCUUGCAUUGCUUAGUUUAGACAUCAUAUGCACAAUAUUGAAUUCUAUCUGCUUAGUUUAGAGAUCAUACAUGCGAGUGCCAGCUGCUUAGUAUAUGAAUCAAUUAUGUCAAUUAUAUCAUGCCAUCAUGUAUACUUAGACAACAUGUAUGUGAAUUAUUUUAUCCCAACCUAUUUUAGAAAGACAUCAUAUAGUUUUGUCCUGUCAUCCUGUUUAGGUACUCAUCAUAUGUUGAAUUAUGCCAUUAUAUCCUGUUAAGUUAUCCAUCAUAUAUCUGAAACUGUGUCAUGCAAUCCUGUUUAGUUAGGCAUCAUAUAUGUGAAAUUGUGUCAUGCUGUCAUGUUUGGUUAGACAACAUAUAUGUGAAUUACCACAUCUGUCUAUCAUACAGUGUCUAUACGUUCAAUUUCUUUUCUUGUUUAUCAGCCAUUUGAAUUGGAGGGGGUGAUGGCAGUAUCUAAGGGAGCAAAAACCCGUUCUUCACAAAAGAUAGUGCUACCCGUCGAUGUAGAUAGAACCAUGGUUGUACUGGCCCACAAACUAGCCCCACCACACAUAAUCGAGACUCUUCCAGAUUGCACACUUACACCAUUCGGCAGAGAACCAGCUACAACCCAUCUAACCGCAACCCCAGCGGAUAGUAACCCACUUCUAGUUGACAAAGCACCAUAUCCACCACAGAGUACCCCCACAUGAGCAGUUUGUAAAGCUAGUGCAGUGCCCAAAGCACGAAGACCACCACAGCUAACCCAAACUCCACGUUUAAAGCAGAAGAGCAAUUGUUCUUAGGUCAGAUUCUGUAGCUAUGGUCCAUACUCCUUUGUUGUUGCAUCACUGUAUUUACUCAUACCAACUACUUCCGAAUUUGAAGGAUCCAAUUGAAACUCCAAUGGCGCAACAGGUAUGUUUUAAACCUAUUUCUUUAACUGGAUUGCUGUUCUAACUUCUUGCUCUAUGUUGAUUUCAGUUUAAGUUGUAUAAACAAUUAUGUUCUCAUGUGAUGCACAUUACAAGUGCUGCCAAUGUUGUGUAGUUUAUCACACUUAUAUUCUGUCUAUGCUGCUGUGUCUUAAAAAUAUAUGAGUUGAACUAUGUCUCUAUCUUGAUUAGGGAACAUAAACUAGAAUGAUAUGGACAAUACAGUGACCAUAGUACAUAGAUAUAUGUUUGUUUCAUGUUGUUAUCCUGUCCACCUUACUACUGAACCGGUUUACCAAAAUGAGUUUCAUAUACUACAUGCUAAACCUGUGAUGUGUCUGCUUGUUUCUCUUGUACGUAGUAUGCAAACAGAAUAUUGGAGAAGAGCACCCCACUAUGCAAUGGUAGAGAAAGUAAUGCAGAUAAGGUUCAAGAUAGUGAGACAACCCUGUUGGUCUCCAAGAAAGGUGAUAAAAACGAUCUUGUAGAUAGUGAGAAAACCCCACAGUCCUGCAUUGAUGUAGUGUUCGAGUUACUGGCCAGUACCGCUGGCACAAGCUCUUCGAACUCACUGCCUGAAUCACUUUGGCUUCUUCAGUCUCAGCUACAAGCUGAAAGGCAUCAGUCAGCUAUGCUGUGGCAAGAAGCCGAAGGGCUGAGGAAGUCCCUGCAGAAUUCAGAUGUGUACUUUCUUGUGCAACAGCAAGCGCUGGAGGAUUUAAGCGCCAAACAAGAGAAAGUUAAUAAGCUUGCUAAGCAUCUUGCCAGCAUUAUGGGUACCCAGGAUAUUGUUUCUUGAACUCUUCUGAAGUGGUUUCAGUUCUGGACUUGUUUUGCUGCGGCGUUUAUAUGCUGCUUUGUUCCCUAUAUUUGCACUGGUGGCGAACUUUGAUGCCCAGUGGAUGUAAUAUGUGUAAUAGCCGUGAUAGCCUAGCAUAAGUUGCUUGCUUAUUUAUUUCCUUGUUGUCUUGUUUAUUUUUUUGCUUGUAGUCAGUGCAAUUCUUUUUUCGCGGUUUGCUAGUGGCUGCAAUAACCUAUUUUUUAAAACUAGGCCACAAUAACCAUGGGCUAAUAUUUAUUGUAGUGACACUGGGCCUCCUACGGGCCGUAGAAACAGUGGGCCUUCUACGGGCCGUAGAAACAAUGGGCCUUCUACGGGCCGAAUCACAAUGGGACUUAUACGGGCCGUAUGACCGAUUGGCCAAACAUGGGCCAAUAACAGGCAGCAUUAUGGCCGUAAAUGGGCUAGAGUUGGAAUCGUCCGUUCAUAGGCCGACCAUAAUGGGCCAUCAUUAAUAGGUCGUAUUUGAUGAUGCUAUGAAAACGGCCCAACGUAUUAACGGACCACAAACGGGCCGACUCUAACCACGGGCUGAAUUUGGCCCACAAGCAAAAAAUGACAAUAACGGGCCGUAAGUAAACGAAUGCUGGAAAUGAGCCCAAUAAUAAAUGGGCUCUGAGAAGGCUGAAAGAUAACAUGGGCUAGAAAUGGCCCAACGGAAUAACGGGUCGUUAAUGGGUAUAAAGUGAUACACUAUUCAUUAUGGGCCAGUUUCACCACGGACCGUUAAUGGGUGUAAAAUGAUACACUGUUCAUUACGGGCCAGUUUCACCACGGGUCGUUAAUAGGCCAAGAGUUACAUAGGGCCUCAUAUGGGCCGAAAGACGUCAUGGGCCAUACAUGGGCCAGAAGUGAAAACGAGCUGGAAUCAUAUUGGAUGGCCCAGAUGACGCUACUGGGCCUAAUUCGGAUAGGGCGUAACAACCCUUGGGUUAGCGGGUUGUAAAUGGGCUAUAUGCGAAUAGGCCGUUAACAGGCUUUACAUGGGUCGGCCCGCCACCUUUUGACCAAGUCAAACGGGCCGGCCUUUUCAUAGGAAUGGGCCUCUAUUGGGUCGUACCACGUGUUGACGUAUCAUAGGCGCCUUCUGUCCAAUGAGUGGAUGACAUCUGUCCCAACGAUGAGCCGACACGUGUUUCCUCCAACCAAUGAUGAUUUUACACGUGGAAAAUCCCCAUUGGUCGGGGCUAUUAACGGGUUAUCGAAUCCAAAACCCGACCCGAUAGCUUAACAACGUUCCAUUACGGUGGAUGCCACAUGUCGGUCACCCUUGACGAAAGCACUUCUGUGACGCGCGAUUUAUCGUCAUGGAAGUGGACACUUUCGUGAUGAUAAUUUUGGUAAUGUCAUGGAACACUUCUAUGACAGCACAUGUAUGACUAUCUUGAUUAUGUCAUAAAAUCGUCAUGGAUAUACAUGCAUGACAAAAACGUGACCUACUGUAACGAACACGUAUCAUCACAGAAGUGUAUUUUUUUGUAGUGUGUGAUGGUCACCUAUAAAAAAAGAAAAACACUGGAAAAGAAAAUCCAGUGUGGCCGUACAUAAAGUCUGUUUGAUGAACCUUUAAAGGUAACCGUAGAGUCCGAAUAGGGUCAAGCCGAACUAUGGACUAUUUGUGUGCAGUAUGCCCCCAGCGCUGCUCAAGGGAUUUUGAGGAUGUACUUGUGUAUACGAGGUACGUAUGAUGUCGCCUUAUGAGGCAGUCGAUAGGGGCGUAACUGCUAAUCGAGCUCCGGUUUAUCUGAGCUGCCGCACUAAGGUGUACUUCGGACACGUUUAGUUGUGUCUGUGGUCUUAACGACCGCUGAUCUGUUUGGCUUGAGUAGGCCGUUUUGGACUUUGACUGCUAGGGCCGCAGUGUCCUUCUCCUACGGAGAGAGUGUUCCAUAUUUCCACUGACCGUAAUGACGCCCCGUGGUCUGGGGAUUUUGAGCUUUAAAUAAGUAUAAUGUGGGACGACAUUAAAGCGGGCGAAGGUCGUUCUUCCGAGUAGUGCAUGAUAGCCACUUCGGUACGGAGCUAUGUCGAAGAUUAGCUCUUCGCUUCGAAAGAUAUCAGGAGAGCCGAAUACGACUUCCAAUGUUAAAGAGCCCGUGCAGCGGGCUUCUACGCUCGGUAUAACUCCUUUAAAGGUCGUGCUACUUGGCUUGAUUCUUGACAGGUCUACCCCCAUUUUGCGGACAGUGUCCUGAUAUAUCAGAUUUAGGCUGCUGCCGCCGUCCAUGAGGACUCGAGUGAGAUGGUGUCCAUCGAUUAUUGGGUCGAGCACUAGGGCAGCCAAACCCCCAUGGCGGAUACUAGUUGGGUGGUCCCUGUGAUCAAAGGUGAUCGGACAUGCCAUCCAUGAGUUGAAUUUGGGAGUAACAGGCUCAACGGCAUAGAUGUCUCGGAGUGCGCGUUUGUGCUUCCUCUUUGGGAUAUGAGUGACGUAAAUCAUAUUCACUGUUUUGAUCUCCGGUGGAAAUUUCUUCUGUCCUCCUGUGUUCGGCUGGCGAGAUUCAUCCUCGUCUUCGCUCUGAGGUCCCCUCUCCUUGUGUUCGGCGGUGAGCUUGCCGGCCUGCUUGAAUACCCAACAACUGCGGUUGAUAUGGUUCACAGGUUUGGUGGGGGUGCCACGGAUUUGGCAGUUCCUGUCUAGUAUUUUGUCUAGGCUAGAUGGACCAUCUUUGUUUCCUUUAAAUGGUUUCUCCGUUGACCGGGUCUGGAGCCACUGAAUCCGACAUUUACUGCCGUAUCAUCUGGGCUUCCCUCAUUGUUUCGACGUUUGUUUCUGUUACGUCGUGGCUUUCCAUUGCCAUCCCUGACUUCGGAUGUGCCAGGUUUGCUGGUGCUGCUAUGGGCUAGCCAGCUGUCCUCGCCCGCGCAAAAACGGGUCAUCAGUGUAGUUAGGGCUGUCAUUGUCCUUGGUUUUUCCUGGCCGAGGUGUCUAGCUAGCCAUUCGUCUUGGACGCUGUGCUUGAAGGCUGCUAAGGCCUUGGGGUCCGGGCAAUCAACAAUUUGGUUCUUCUUAGUGAGAAACCGGUUCUAAAGCUUACGGGUUGAUUCCCCAGGUUGUUGGAUUAUGUGACUUAGGUCGUCAGUGUUCAGGGCCCGGACAUAAGUCCCUUGUAAAUUGGCCCAAAAAGCAUCCUCAAGUUCUUCCCAACUUCCAAUGGAAUUUUCUGGGAGGCUUUUCAGCCAGUGUCGAGUUGGUCCUUUCAGCUUGAGGGGUAAGUAUUUGAUGGCGUGGAGAUCAUCUCCCCGAGCCAUGUGGAUGUGAAGAAUAAAGUCUUCUAUCCAGACUGCCGGAUCCGUCGUUCCAUCAUAUGCCUUGAUGUUUACGGGUUUAAAUCCUUCUGGAAAUUCGUGAUCCUGCACCUCAACGGUGAAGCACAGGGGAUGAGCGGCACCCCUGUAUUUGACUGUGUCGUCGCGUGGGUUCGACGGUUGUGAUGCUCGGCAUUGACUCUAAACUGCUAUAUGACCAGCAUAUUUGGUUUGAUAGCCACAAUCCCGUGUGGGGGCACGGUCCAUAGAUUCGUAGAUGGAUCUGGCUUUACUGGCCUUUUUGUCCAGGUCCUCACGUAGAUCGUGUUUCUGGUCUUGAGCCGCAACCUCCCUUCCUUUACGGGGAGGGGGUGCAGGCUUGUGUACGGCAUUGCUAGCCGCUCUGUCUCGACCACGAGGUGGUCGGUCCGGCUUGUCGGCCGUAUUGUUUUUCGGUGGUAUAGGCGCAAUAGCCUCGUCGUCGAAUUCGGGCAAUAUUACGCUUAGGAUAGCCCCUUGUUUGGCGAUUGCAGCCAUAUUUUUCCUCGGCGUCUAGCACUUCGUUCCAUCUGUUAUUGAGCGUAUCCUGAGUGACUUUAAGCCACUGCUCCUGCUUCUUUAGGCUCCUUGCGGUGGCGAUAAGCCUUUGAUGGAGGCGUACUUGUUCUAAGGGUUCUUCUGGGACGACGAAUUCGUCGUCGCCCAAGCUGACUCCUCUUCGGAGAUAGGUUGGUAAUUGCUAUCUUUGGCAUCGCUACGAUCAGACAACAUCGCCGGACUGUGCUCGCCGUCUUCUCACGCAUCCUGCUCCAACGCUGGGUCUGCGGGGUCCUUAGUUUGGUUCGGAUUAUCAUCGUCGUCAGUGACAAUGUUGCUGUUUUUCCUUCUGCCGGAUCAAGGUCGGUGCUUCUGACACCGACGCUUGGAGGUUCAUCGACAGGCAUACUGUUAUCGUCGUCGGCCUCCUUCUCUUUAGGUGUGUCCACCAUGUAUAUAUUGUAUGAGGAUGUAGCCGUCCACCACCCUAUGGGUGGUGGUUUUUGUGCCUGCUCCUCUCCGACAUCGUCGUCCAUACCGUCGAUGUCCUCGGAGCCAUAAUCGAGCGUGUCGGUUAAGUCUUCGACAGUGGCAAUGAAGUGGGUGGUGGGUGGGAAGCGAAACUCCCCGUCAUCAGAUUCCCAUUCAAGCCGGAAAUAGUUCGGCUGAGAUUCUCCUGAUAAGGAGAGGGCUCUUAAUGAGCUCAGCACAUCACCAAAAGGUGAGUGCCGGAAGAUGUCCGUGAAGCUGAACUCAAUGAUCGGCGCCCGAUCAGGUUCGAUGGGCACGGAUGCACGUGGUUCGGGACCUAUGGCCGGAGAUGAAUCUGAGGUUCCGAUAACACAGGGCCCACUUGAGGUUGGAUCUGUGUGCGGCUCUAUCGCCGCUGAGUUUGCGCCUUCCGUAGCGGGGUUGAGCAUCCCGUCCUCGGAUGGCGCGAUCUGCUCCGGAUCUAGGGCCAGAGCAAUUGUAGGUGUUAUCUCCUGAGCACGGUCCGAUGACAGAUUUAGGUUAUGUUCAUCGUGGUGACAGGGAGCGGCCGUCAUGGGCUCGAAUCUAUCGAAAAUCAAAUCUCCGCGGAUAUCCGCCACAUAAUUCAGGCUUCCAAAUCUGACCCGAUGGCCAGGGGCGUAGCUAUCGAUCUGCUCCAGAUGGCCAAGCGAGUUGGCUCGCAGUGCGAAGCCGCCAAAUACGAAGAUCUGUCCGGGGAGGAAAAUCUCCCCCUGGACUGCAUUGUUGUAGAUGAUUGAUGGGGCCAUCAAACCUUUUGAUGACAACGCAGCGGAACUCUCAAUGAAAGCACAAAUGUCAGUGUCAAAACCGGCGGAUCUCGGGUAGGGGGUCCCGAACUGUGCGUCUAAGGUCGAUGGUAACAGGAGAACGGGGACACGAUGUUUACCCUGGUUCGGGCCCUCUCUAUGGAGGUAAUACCCUACUUCCUGCUUGAUUGAUCUUGAUGAAUAUGAGUAUUACAAGAGUUGAUCUACCACGAGAUCGUAAUGGUUAAAACCCUAGAAGUCUAGCCUAUGGGAUUAUGAUUGUGUCCUAUGGACUAAACCCUCCGGUUUAUAUAGACCGGAGGGGGCUAGGGUUGUACAAAGUCGGUUACAGAGAAAGGAAUCUACAUGUCCGAAUCGCCAAGCUUGCCUUCCACGCAAAGGAGAGUCCCAUCCGGACACGGGAAGAAGUCUUUUGUCUUGUAUCUUCAUAGCCCGACAGUCCGGCCCAUUUAUAUAGUCCGGUCGUCCGAGGACCCCUUAAUCCAGGACUCCCUCAGAUAUCGUUCCAAAAAUCGUAUCGUGGUCACAAACGCUCUCCAUCUCCCUUUCGUAUCUUAUAUGCCAACCACACCGGCCACUCCCAGCCACACAUCCACUCCAUUGUAUCCCCCUCUCCUCAAGCUAUUUUUUUUAAUAAUACACUUUUUUAUUAAUUUUCAAAAAUAUUACAUCUAUAUUUAAAAAGAAAAAUUACAUCGGCGGCCUUCUAGUAGCCGACUGGAUCCAGUAAUCAAGGAGAAAGCCGAUUGGCACCCUGUCGGCUACAGGGUGGUCGAUUGGCCUCCUGUCGGCCAAGGGGUUGCCGACAGCCCUAUCGGCCGCUGGUUGUAGAUCUUGUCGGUUACCUAGUGGAUGGCAGGAACUAAUUGUAUUCCUGCGGAUUAGGUCUAAUUGGCUUCCCCUAAGCCGAUAGGUGCAUGCACCCAUAUUCUCCCACUAUGUUUCCCGCCAGUAUCUCCCGCCAUAUUUCCCGCUUUCUAGUUCCCGUCAUAUUUUUCUCGCUUUCUAGUUCUCGUCACAUUUUUUUGAUUUCUAGUUCCCGCCAUAUUUUCUCGCUUUCUAGUUCCCACCUAUAUCUCCCGCCAUAUUUCCCCACUUCCGAGUUCCCGCCUAUUUUUUCUUCUCAACCUAUAAAACACUCACGGCACUAUGGUGGGUAAGCAUUCUAGUGUAGUGCCUCGCGAAGAUGUCCAGGUAUCCUUUUGAUCAUAGUUUUCACCCUGGUAUGUCCAAAUGUCUUCUAUGUUUAGCCACCGAUUUUAGGUUGACAUAUGAACUCAUCAGUAGUGACACGCUACUGAAUGCGCUAGCUCACACGUAAGUAUGUGCGGGUGGAUUUCCAGGACCUUUCAGGAGAUACGGAAAGAACUUCUCAGGUUGCAUGGAAGAUGGAUGAAGAAACAAUCUAAGAGUGAAAAAUACCUAAAGGUUGCAGCAGAACAUACUUUUUUUUGGACGGCCGACCGCGAGGAUGAAGACGAUAUCUUCAUGCCAAGCACCAAGGCCAAGAGUACCACACCGUCGAAGGGCAAGAGUUGUGUAUCAUCGAAGGACAAGAGUUCUUCAUAGUCAAAGGGCAAGAGUUCUGCAUCGAGGAGAAGGACGAUGAUGACUUCAUGUCGUUUUUACGUUGUGUUUUAAGUUCAAUCCUACCGUUUAAUUCAGAUGUAGUUAUAUCCAGUUGUUUGUACUAUUUUAUUGUACGAGUAUGUUCUAUCUAAAUAUGAUGUUGUAGUUGGCGCACGACGUUGGAUAACAGAGUACUAAAAUAGAGGAGGCAUAUGUAUCAUGUUGGAAAUAUGCCCUAGACGCAAUAAUAAAGUGGUUAUUAUUAUAUUUCCUUGUUCAUGGUAAUCGUUUAUUAUCCAUGCUAUUAUUGUAUUGACUGUAAACUCAAAUACAUGCGUGGAUAUACAGACAACAACAUAUCCCAAGUGAGCCUCUACCGGACUAACUUGUUGAUCAAAGAUGGCUAUGGUUUCAUAGUCAUAGACAUGAGUUGUCAUUUGAUAAUGGGAUCACAUCAUUAGGAGAAUGAUGUGAUGAAAAAGACCCAAACUAGAAGCGUACCAUAUGAUCAUAUCAAGUUUAUUGCUAUCGUGUUCUGCAUGUCAAGUAUCUGUUCCUAUGACCAUGACAUCAUGCAACUCACUGACACCGAAGGAGUACCUUGUGUAUCAAACGUCGCAAAGUAAAUGGGUGACUAUAAAGAUGCUCUACAGGUAUCUCCGAGGGUGUCUGUUGAGUUGGCAUGGAUCAAGACUGGGAUUUAUCACUGUAUGACGGAGAGGUAUCCUAGGGCCCACUCGGUAAUACAGCAUCACAAUGAGCUUGCAAGCAAUGUGACUAAAGAGUUAGCCACAGGACCUUGUAUUAUCGAACGAGUAAGGAAACUUGACGGUAACGAGAUUGAACUAGGUAUGGAGAUACCAACGAUCGAAUCUCGGGCAAGUAACAUAUCGCCGGACAAAGGGAAUUGCAUACAGGAUUGACUGAAUCCUUGACAUCUGGUUCAACCGAUAAAGAUCUUCGUUGAAUAUGUAGGAACUAAUAUAGGCAUCCAGGUCCCGCUAUUGGUUAUUGACCGGAGAGGAGUCUCGAUCAUGUCCGCAUAUUCCCGAACUUGUAGGGUCGCACGCUUAACGUUCGAUAGCCUUAGGGUAGUAUUGAGAUAUUAAUAGUGGAAAGUACGGAGGUUGUUUGGAGAUCCGGAUGGGAUUCGGGACAUCAUGAGGAGCUUCAGAAUAGUCCUGAGGUAAAGAUUAAUAUAUGGAAAGUUGUUAUCGGGGUUCCAGAAAAAGUUCGAGUUUUUUCGAUAUUGUACCGGGAAGGUUCUGGAGUAGGGCCCACCGGCAUGGGGGACCCACAUGAACGUGGGUUGUGGGGAAAGUCCCCACGACCCUAGUCAAGGCGCACCAAAAUCCUCCCUUAAAAGGAAUAGUAUCAUAUCCCAACAUAUUAAUAGUUGAAACAGGAUCAAAGCUCUUCAAGGCANNNNNNNNNNNNNNNNNNNNNNNNNNNNNNNNNNNNNNNNNNNNNNNNNNNNNNNNNNNNNNNNNNNNNNNNNNNNNNNNNNNNNNNNNNNNNNNNNNNNNNNNNNNNNNNNNNNNNNNNNNNNNNNNNNNNNNNNNNNNNNNNNNNNNNNNNNNNNNNNNNNNNNNNNNNNNNNNNNNNNNNNNNNNNNNNNNNNNNNNNNNNNNNNNNNNNNNNNNNNNNNNNNNNNNNNNNNNNNNNNNNNNNNNNNNNNNNCAUCGCCCGACCCGAUGUCGGGCCUUAUGCAUUUGCCCGAAGAUCUUGAACCAAGGGUAGGAGGUCGGAGAUCUCCACGGCAACGCCUCCAAGGAGGGGAACGACGCCCGCGGGCGCCACCGCUGCCGGUUGGCAACAACCGGGCAGCUCUUCACCCGAAGCAUUUCGAACACCACCUCCACGCGCCGCAAUCCGCUGACCCGCUCGCCUCCCACACAGAAAUCACGCUGUCGCCAUACGGGAGCCACCACAUACCUUGCCGGCACCAUGCCGGGCUAGAUCCGGCUGCAACCGAAUCACCAUCUAGCCUCACCCAGAACCCCAGCCGCCUGCAGCCACUGAACAAAUGAAGCCGCCGGGCUAGCAAGCCGGCCAGAUUUGCAGCACCGCUCGGGAGGGGGCUGCCACCCUGCCCCAUCCCGCAGCGCGGAGCUGCCGGCCCAAAGCCCAGGCAGCUUGCAGUAGCCGCUGCACCGCCAAGAGGGCGCCGCUGAAUAGGCAGAAGCCGUCGGCUGCCACCCCAUCUGCUGGAUCCACACGCCAGGAGUCACCAAGCCGCCGCCAUCCGCUGGAUCCACAAUGGCAGGAGCUGCCAGAGCACCACCGAGACGCUGCUGAGCCGAGCACCACCAUCCCGUGCAGACCGCAGGCACCGCUCGUCGCCACGCUAGAUCCGCACCUGGCCGCGCACGCCCACAGCUCCGCGACGCCAAGGGAGAUGGCCGCCGCCAGCACCGCACGGCGAUGAGAAGAAGAAGAUGAUGUAUAUCCUAAGGAAGUCUAUCAAUAUUUUUGUUACUCAUGGAUCAAUGCAUUCUGGUCCUAUGCUUUAGAAAGGAAAAACAGUUUGAACCCCACAACGGUUAGGGUCACUUAUGCCGAAUAAUCCAAAAGUUCCAGGACAUCAGCAUCCACUCGACAAACAACUGCGGACAUUCUACUCGCCAAUGAUUCAACAACAUAUAUUAGCAUCUGCGCUGAUAAGAUUUAAGAUACAGCGCGAUGAAAUUACGAGAUGAGACAGACUCUGUUGUUGGAAUUUGUAUACAGCCGAAACUGCAGCAACAUCUACAGUAGUGCGCAAAGCUUGACUGCCGGUGUGUGUAGCUGAAAGAAACAAGGGCACGUACCUCUACACACGAGGUGAUGAAGGACGUCUCCAGAGGGGAUCGCAGUGGUUGAAGCUUCUUCAGUUUCGUCGGACUUGAAUUUCUACUCUGAAAUGAACCACCAUAUCUGCAUCCCUGACUUUCUUAUGGGCGCAAAAUGAGAUUGUGUGAACGAUAACCACAACUUGACAAGGAAAACACCUCUGCUAACCUCAUUAACUCAACUGAAAAUACGUAUUUCUGAACACUCCCUGAACUUGCUUUUACAGAUUACAAAAAUUCCUCUGCUAACCUCAUUAACUCAACUUGUAAUAAUGCACUCGUAUUUCCCAACUCCUGAAUCACUGUAAUGAUUACCACUACCAUCCAGGACCAGUCACGCAAAAGUACCUGCUAGUUUACUUAGGUAACUGAAAUUGUCAGGGAACUCCAUGAACCAUCCCCACUUGCUUGCAUCUGCUACACUUUACCCUACUGUGGAUCUCUUGUCCAGCAAUACCACAGCAUUUUCUAGGGAAGCAGUUACCCACAACAAUUGUGGUACAGGAGGCCUUUCAUGCAAGGCUUCCUAUACACUCACGACUUCCCUUCAGGGAACGCAAGUAAAACACCGACCUUGUACAGCUUGCCACCACAUUGUGUGACGAUUCGGUAUUCGACUAGACAAUCUGUGCAACUUCUACUCGCUUCAUUCACUGCUACUCAAUGUAAAAUAUUAGGAGACCAUGACAGUUCUAAUGCAAAGGAUACAGAGGAGCUAACUGCAGUCCCCUCCACAUUUUCUCAUCCGGGCUUGGGACCGGCAAAGGCAGUGUUAAACUACUCCUACUUAAACACAGAAAACAGCCAACACUACAAACAAUUACAUUCAGCUAAAGCAUACAAGCCACGCAAUCAACCAAAGGUAGCAUUGGCACACGAUUGGCAAUAAAGUAUUCACGCAACAUUUUUGGAAGAUCAUAACACAGACAUGAGGCACAAACAAAGAAUGCCAUAAAUUCCAGAACCUGAAUGGACUAAUGUAUCUAGUGGGAUGAGCGUGAUUCAAAACUUUGCACAGAGAAAGCUUUGCAAGAUUUAGCCAUUAUAAAGGGUCAGAGGACCGUAAGAUGUGUAGACAGAUACUUCUGUGUCCUUAAAAUCUACAUAUAGGAUUUAUUAUGUAGUAUGAAACAGAAUGGGUUUGUCUAAGUUUCUAGUUAAGAAUAUGCAAUCGGCAGGAAUCAUCAAAUUAGUACUUCUGCUAGUUGCCAACUAAUUUAAAACUAGGAAGUAGGCAGAAAACUAAGAAUAUGUAAUUGAAGAGAAUGUGUGGUUCAAGAUUCAGAGCAGUUCACCGGCAAAGAAGGUCAAUUAGCCAUUAGAGGAUGUGUGAACGCUAUGAAUUAUAGAUUUAAGAAUAAGUAAUGGAAGAUUCCAUAAUCCAGAUCAAAUUAGCAGUUUGCGUAAAGAGAUCAAAUUAGCCAUUGGAGGACCGUAGAGAUGUGUGAGCGCUUUGUGACUUUAAAUCCAGGAUGAAGUACAAAACAAACUGCCAUAUGUUGAAAGUAAUCAGCAGGAUUCAUCCUCAAAUUAGCCAGUGUGUUCAGGAAUCAUCAAAUUAGCCAGACUGUUCUGCUAGGUGUCAAUUUAACCAAACCGAGAAGAUGCAUUGAAGAAUCCAGAUCUCACUGGAGAAGUACCAAUGAGAAUAACAUCACUUCUGAAAAUCAACUCCAUACCAACAAAGCAGAAUCAUAUUCAGUGAACAUGUUCAGGGCAAAAUAUUUGUUCAAGCUUCCAAGCUCAGAAACUUCCAACUAUCCAAAGUUUUAGUAUAUAUAGCAAUAACUCCUAAACCUCUUUCUGCAUACCCAACUACAGGAGGCCAACCAACACAAGUGCGAGCGUGGGAUCUUUCUUUAUCACCAAAGUAAAAAAUAUGAGCACACCAAAAGUUGAUUUUGUGUCAUAAGAUGAACCUAAACAACGUGUAUAUAUAUAAAAUUAUAUACAUAAACAAACCAAGUGCAAUCAUGGACAACAGUAUGUAGAACAAAUCCAAGUAUGACCAAUUCAUAUAUAUAUAUAUGCAUUAACAUUUUUACUGCAUUCAGAGCUCAUGUACAUACGAUCUUUACUUCCUAUUGGGUGAUAAAUUUGCAAGUCGAAAGAUACAAGCAGCCAAAUAUCAAAACCAAACUUCCUGAAACAGUAUGGUAACCAGGUAAUUUAUAGUCAAAUCAAACUUCGAUAAUCUUCUAUACAAACUGAGUACGAACUGAUAUUUCCAUUUCGGACCCUUGUUUGAGACUUCUAGCAUUUUCUUGAUUCAAGCAGAAGAUGAGAUCAUAUUCCAUCCAAACCACAUGCAAGUUGAAGAAGAUACCGUAACCAGUAAGAUGGCAGAACAGAAACCAAGUAAGAUGCUUCAGGACAGUUGAAAGAAUCAGAUGUGCACACUACCAACUCCAAGCUGCACCAAAGAUAUGAGGCCACUGAAUGCAAGUUCAAACUGAAAACUACCACAAAGACCAUAUCAUUAUGCUUCAGGAUCACUAAUCAGAAGUCAAAACCAUCAGGGAAGCCCGUUUGCUUUCACCAAGUCCCAGCGCUGACUGACUACCCAACUCUACAAUCUUGCAAUAAAAACUUCAAUAAUGCAAAUCAAUGAACGGCCCAAAUGACAGGCAUACUUAUAGUUUCUUCAAGGAAAAUCAGACCAUAAUAAAAUCUGGGAAAUCAGUUGAAACAAGCAUCGAGUCCAGGUUUAAGUUUUUAUUUUGUGGUCGAGGAAGAUUCCUCCAUCCAGAACGAAGCUCCCAAACAGCCAUCAGACAAACAUAAAUCAAGGAACUAAGGUAUAGCCACUCAAAUCUGACGUCACCAAGCACAGAUGAGGAAUCCAGCAAAUCAAUGUGACCAAACAUGGGAAACUGACCUGCCUCAAGUACCCUUCACCAUAUGUUCACACACCAUAUGAAGCUUCAUUUCCAGACCAGAUCGAGAUCCAGUCCUGCAAGCUAAAUUGUAGAGACCAUAACAAAUUAAACAAACAGACUGUCUACAAGAAUCUGACCUGACUCCAUGUACAGAGCGGUUUGGGCCCAAACUCCUAACUAUUAUAUCUUGCCAACCCACACUCACAGAAGACCUAGAGAGCACAGGGAUCAAGAGUACAGAUAACAACCAUGGGGAGCUAGUCACUGCCCACAUGGCCUGGGCUAAAGAACAAUCUGCAACCAUAGGAAGGGCAGGGGCAAAAACCUAUAUCAAAGCGAUGGCCAAGUAACUAAUAAAUGAAAUAAAGAAAAUAGGAAGGUAAGAGUCUUCUUCGGUUGUAGGAUGUGCCAUUAGUUGAAAGCUCUGGAUUAUCCUUAUAUUUGUUUUGCAUAUGAAUCUGUAUUUAAAAUAUUGUCUUAUAAGAUAAUUUAUAGGUUAUAUAAGACGAUACUAGUAGAUUUAGAAAAUCAGUAGAUGGAUUUACCGGGUUGGAAAGGAGUUCUUCAACUACAACCUGCAGCGAGCAAGAGGCCUUUUCUAUAAAUUUUUGGUUAGGGGAAAUGCUGCUUAUAUAUAAAUAGCUAAAGCAUGGAUAAAACGAUGAGCGGGAACAAGUAAAAGCCUGUCUAGGGUCAGGUAUGGAUGAUGGACGACAACAACGCCAGUUCCAAACUGCAGAUUCCUUUCCAAGUCGGUAUCUGCAAGAGCUGAGAAUUACCAAGGCAAAGAAAACCUAAGGUCUAGAGAGUUCAAUUAUAGAGUAAAAAGGUUGAAAAGUUUUAGCCAUAGAAGGAACUGCCACGAUGCAAAAUAGGACCGCCUUCUAAGGCGUAUUAUUCCAAUUUCUGGAGAGCCACCAACAAAUAGUUCAAAUUAGAAUUGUGGGAAACCAAAACAGAACAGUGGAGACGAAAGAGCAAAACAGAGGGAGUGAUAAUUAUCCAAACGCAAAGCAGAGCAAGAUGUGUCUCUCCGCUAAGCCAUAUAAUUCCAAUUUCUGGAGAACCAACAUAUCCAAAAAUAUCCUGCGGCCCAGACUUCCUAAAUAUAUCCUGCAACUGAUAACACGCAGAAGACCAGCACAGGGAUCAAGAGUACAAACAACAAAUCCAUCCAGAAAGAGAGAUAGACCGCAAACCAAAUGAUUUAACAGAUUCCGACUCACAACCAGCAUGGUUUGGGCUCAAUCUGCAAACACCAAAGGGAGGGUAGAAAGAAAAACAUAAAUUAAAGACACAAGCAAGUAGCUACGUGAAACAAAAAAGUAAGAGGUGGGUUAAAAUAGUCUUUUUCAUUGUAGGAUGUUCCAUUAGUUUGAUUCUCCUUUGUUGAACCUUUGCAGAUCUGUAUUCAAAAUAUUUCCUGGUAAGAUGAUUUUAAAGGUUAUCUAAGUUAUGAUGACUUGAGGAAAUAGUAGAUUUAGAAGAACUGCAAACAGAUUCAACUCAGCACCAGGUUCGACUUGAGUUCAUCAACUACGACCUGCAACAAGGAAGAUACCUUUCUAUAAGAUAGGAGGAAAACUAGGCUCAGCUAAAGCAUGCAUCAAAUGCUGAGGUGAAGGUUAAGUAAGAGGUAAAGGGUAAGUAAGCCUGUCUCGGCCACGAAGGUCAGAUAGACAACACUGGUUCCAAUUAUUUCGGUUCCAAGCCAGCAUCUGCAAGAGCCAAGAAUUACCAAGGAAGGCUAAGAAACAAAUAUCUAGAAAGUUCAAUUAUCAAGGGAGGACAAAAGGUCAGAUAUGUUGGGCCACAGAAAGAACCGCCAUGCUGAGGAAACAUAGGAUCACCCGCUAAGCCGUAUAAUUCCAAUUUCUGGAGAACCAGCAACAAAUCUAAAUCAGAAUUGUUGGACAACUAAUUGAGCUGAGAAGAAAUUAAGCAGAGAGUAAUGAUCAUCCAAACGCAGGUCAGCAAGAAGAUAGGUCACUCCCGCUAAGCCAUAUAAUCCCAAUAUUUGGACAACCAGCAACAGAUCCAAAUCAAACUGUGGGGGACUAAAGUUGAAUUGUGCAGAGACUUAAAUAUAGGGGGUUCAUAAUCAUCCAAACACUGAUCAACAAGAAGAUAGGUUGCUCCUGCUAAACCUUGUUAAGCUCAAUUUCUGGAAAACCACAAAUGGAUUCAGAACUGCCAAGGACUAAAUUGUACUGCACAGACCAAAUAAAUUGAAUCGAGAUGAAAUUCAUUAUCCAAAUGCAGAUCACAAGUUUCAGGUUGGCAAGAAUCCUAAGCUUCAUUAUCCAAUCAAUCAAAACGACAAACAGAAACCAAACCUCCACCCUAUGAUUCAUCUGUGCAGAACUACUACACUCCUGCAUCUGCUGCAAGCAAAGGAGCACAAACACACACCAAGAGUGCGAUCAGCUGCUACAAUAAGAAUCUACCAGGACCUCCAAUCCACCUCAUAUUAGCUGAUGAUGCGUGAUGAGAACCAGAAGACCACACCGGCGAUAGCCAUUUAAAUCUGACCUGCUCAAAUCCCCUUCCGACAUACAACAUCAUAGGGAUCUCCACAUUCCAGAUCCAAUCCUGCAACCAAUGUGUGGAGGAACACAACUAAACCAAACAAACCGUUGAUAGAACACUGACCUGACUCACUGUAAAGAGAUUUGCCCAUAAGCACAAACUUCCUAAAUAUGGCCUGCAGUCGACAGGAUAAGUGUACAGAUAACAAAUUGAAACGCAUAGAGAUAGAUUGCAAACCAAACGAUUUUAACAGAUUUCGACUCACUGCCAACACUCUCUGGGCUAAAAUAAAUCUGCAAUCACAGGGGCAGAAGCAAAAAAGCCUAAAUCAAAGGCAUGAACAAAGUAGCUACGUGAUAUAAAGAAAAAGAGGCAAGAGUUAAAAAUGGAGGAGUCUCUUUUUUGUUUGUAGGUUUUGCCAAGUUUGAAGCUCCAUUCGUGAACCUUUGAGAUAAAUCUGAAUUCAAAAUAUUGCCUAGUGAGAAGAUCUUAAAGGUUAUCUAAGUAAUAAUGAAUUGAUUAGAUUUAGAAAGAACUGCAAACAGAUUCAACUCAGCAUCAGGUUGGACUUGCAUUCGUCAAACCUGCAACGAGCAAGAUACGUCUCUGUAAAUUAGGGGGAAACUAGGCUCAACUGAAGCAUGCUUCAAACGAGGAAGAGGUAAAUGCUAUAUGAGGAAGUUGGGCUGGGAAGGUCAGGUAGACAGCACAACACCGAUUCAAAUUAUAUCCCUUCCAAGAUGGUGUCUGCAAGAGCUGAGAAUGACAAACUAAGGCAGAGAAACUUGUCUGGUAUGUUCCAAUUAUAUUAUUGACGAGUAAGAAAAUGUCGAGCCACAGAAGAACCGCCGUGACGAGGGAAAAUAGGGCCACCCGCUAAGCCGUAUAAUUCCAAUAUCUGGAGUACCAGCAACAAAUACAAAAUCCAAAUCAGAAUUGUGUGUUGUGUGAAGACUAACUGAACUGUGGAGAAAAGAAAAUGAACAGAAAGGGAAUGAUCGUCCAAACACAGGUGAGGAAGAUGACAAGUCGCUCCCGCUAAGCCGUAUAAUCCCAACUUCUGGACAACCAUCAACAAAUCUAAAUCAAAACCGACUAAGAUUGAACUGUGUAGAUGGAGGAAUUAAAUAGAGGGGGCAAUUAAUCAUCCAAACGCAGAUGUUGCUCCCGGCUCCUGCUAUGCUGUGUAAUCCAAAUUAUAAUUCCUGGAGAACCAACGAAUUCAGAUCAGAAUUGCCGUUGACUAGUGUGCAGACCAAGAAACUAAAAUUGGGAGGGAUUUAUAAAUAUUAAACGCGGAUCGCAGGUUCAGGUUGGUAAGAGAUCCUAAGCUUCAUCACCCGAGAAGAUCUGACCAUAUCAGGACAGCCGCUGAACCUCAACCAAUGAAUCAAAAUAAUCAUGAGAAGAGAUCAAACCUCCACCUCUGUAGAACUAGCGCACCCUCUGGCUUCCUCUGCAUCUACAUAGGGUGAGAGGACAAAGACAUACCAAAACCGAGAUCAGCCGGUACAACAAGAAUCCUCCACGAGGGCCUCGAAUUAACACACCCCGCACUAACGGAUGACACGGAAUAAACCACAGCCCUCGGGGAACCAGAAGAUCACACGGGCCAUAUUCAUUUCAAAUCUGGAAUCACGGACGAACGCAGGUGACGGAACCAAGGAAGCGAUCUGAACGAGCACGGGAAACUGACCUUGCCUCGGCCUCCGGCUCCAUAAUUAAGCCCCAAUUCCAAAAACCACGCACGAUCCUUCAACCUGCACGCGCGGAUGCGAACACGACGAGAAACACAUGAUCCACAGUUGCAAACAGAAGCGGACACGCGAAACAGAUUCUGAGAUAGACUCGCAAACCAAACGGAUGAAUCCCCCGAUCGAUCGCUUCCCGAACUCGCACGGAAGCGGAGGAGAGACAAGUCGUCGAAUUCGAAUCCCCUGCGAGCACAUCAAGGCAACGGCGACGGCGGGUGAAUGAAAUAAAAUCAGACGCGACGAAUCGUCACGAGGAAAAGAGAAAUUGGAAGGGGAAGGAAACAGUCGCUCAAACGCGAGGAGGCGCGGCACGUCACGAACGAGAAAGGUCGGAGGAGAGACGGGGCCGGAGCGCGGGGAGGAGAGGGCGCACCUGGGCGCGUUUUAUAGCCGGCGCGGGAGGGGGAGCCGGCCUG